CUUCCUAGCACCCAUCAAUAGGUGCAAAUCUUACCGUCACCCAUUAGUAAGUGUACCUUCCUGUAUCCUUCAGUAGAUACCUAAAUCUUCUAGCAUCCAUUAGUAGAUGCUAUCAUCACUGCCAUCAGAAGUAGCAUAUAACCUAAAAAAACUUAAACACACAAAUAAUCAAAAAUAAGAAGUUAGAAACUGGGUUGCCUCCCAACAAGCGCUUCUUUAACGUCAUUAGCUUGACCUGGUAAAGCCCAAACACCCAUCAGUAGGUGUUGAUCCUCUUUGCUUGAUAUUCUUUUCUUUUUCUUCUUCCUGCUGAAUUUCUUCAGAAAAUUGAGAACACCAAGCACCUGUUUCCAUAUAUCAAUCAUAGGAACUGUAAUCUCCAAUUUAUUGAAGAUCUCCAUAAAGCACUUCAACUUCUUUUCUUUCCUAUGAUAUUUCUUUUGAUGAGGAAGAGGUUUUUCAUAUGAUCUUUUCUUCUUUCCUCUCUUCCUCUUUUUCUCACUUUUCUUCUUUCUUUAUUUUCACAAUUUUUCUCUUUUUUCUUUUCUCUCAACCACUGCUUUUUCUCCCUCAUCAUCAUUAUCUUCCUUAACCAACUUUUAUGUUUCUUCUUCCUUUAAAUCUUUCUCUAUCUUUUCUUCCUCAAUCUUCUCCUCCUUUUUCUCCAAUUUUUUCUCCUCUAUCUUCUCCUCCUUUCUUUCCAUGUUUGUCUCCUUUAUUUUCUCCUCAUAUAUCUCUAUCUUUUCCUCCUUUAUCUUUUCCUUAUUUCUCUCCAAUUUUUUCUCCCCUAUCUUCUCCUCAUUUAUCUCUAUCUCUUUUUGCACUAUCUUCUCCUUCUUUCUCUCGAUGUUUUUCUCCUCUAUCUUCUCCUUAUAUAUCUCUAUCCUUUCUUCCUUUAUAUUUUCCUCCUUUCUCUCCAUGUUUUUCUCCUCUAUCUUCUCUUCAUAUAUUUCUAUCUAUUUUUCCUCUAUCUUCUCCUUAGCAACAACCUUUUCUGUUUCUAUCUCUUUUAUCUUUUUCACCUCUCUCUCUAUCCUUUCCCCAUCAACAACCUCAUCAAUUCAUGUCUCCAAAUUUCGUAAGGUAACUUCAUAGCUCUUGGAAUCGUACUUCUCCAAAAAUUUGUCAAAAUUUUCUUUAGAUCUUUUGAGUUUUUCUCCCAAAUCAGCUAUCUGUUGACAUAGUUGUUGCUCUUCCUCCCACGUUACUAUUGGUGAAGAGAAUUGUUGCUUCCAGUGAUAUUGUUGCAUCUCUUCCAUGCUUUUAUGAAAAGAAAGUCUUGUAUACAUAUUCUGUGGAAAAAAUUUGUCAUUCUUUGUAUUCUCCUCUAUGCCUUUGACAUGGUAUACUUUCGAAUUUAUGACCCUCUAAAAAAGUUCAUCAGACUCUCCACUCCUCUUAAUCGGAGUAAAUCGUGGCUCAACAGCUUGCCCAAAUUGGCUUUGAUCCAUGUAUGAGUGAGGUUCCCACUAGUGGUUGAAAUUAUUUUGGUAGAAUUGAGUGCCCAUAUAAUCAAAUUCUUGUCCAUACUACAUCCUGCAAACAUUAGGCACAAAACCCUAGUAGCACUUUUUUAUAUAGAAAAAAUAAAAAGAUUAAAAGAUAAGAUGUAUACAAUCAAGUCAAACUUAAUCAGUUUACACUACUAGAUAAGUUAAACCACGAGUCCCCGACAACGGCGCCAAAAACUUGUUAAGUCCCUGGCAAGUGUACCAGAUCGUUAUCAAGUAAUAUAAACGGGUAAGUCCGAGUAUCGUUUUUCCAAAGGACUCUUAGGCCUUAACUUUCAUGUAAUCUAAUUGCGUAAGACAUGAGAAGAGAAUAAAUUUGGUGGUUAUAUUCAAAGAACAAAAAUAAACAUGCAAUGCAGUUGAUUCAAUUGGUUUUGAGAAACUAUGGAUGAAUGGUGUUGUUGGGGUUUACAAUUUCAUCUUAUCCACUCUCAUAUACCUACUCUUCUUAUUUACUUCACUUAUUUAUCUAAUUGCCAUGAAUACUUUCUUAUUUACCCUUAACCCAAUCCCUUGGUGAAAAAAGCCUAUUAUUAAUUACCGGCUUGCUAUCCCUACCCCUAUCCCUAGGCGAUAUUGGCAUAAUCAAGGAAUUUCCCACCAGUUCAUGACAUUACCGUACGUCCCCAUAUCGAUAAAGACAAACAUCUUUUACUGAAUGAGUUAAACAAUAAAAGCAUUGAGCACAGAUGAGAACCCAACAAUUGAUAAACAAGUAUAUGACAAGCAUAUGAAAUAAAUAAGAAUUUGAAUAUAUGAGAGUUUCAAAAGAUUACAUUGUUCCCUAACAACAAAUGGUUUAGUUCACCAUUGACAUGGUGAAACUAGAUGAAAAUAAUGAAAGAAUGGAAUAAAUAACCCUAAACUUGGUUGAAUGGAGCCUAAGCAUCCAAGGAACCUCCUCUAAGGUGUGGAAUAGCUCUGGACGUUUCUUUCUGCCAAAAGAAUCCCCUUCUAAUUCGCACUGGGGCUAUAUAUAAGCCCAAAAAUAUAAUAGAUAGAUUACAGAAAGAUUUACAAGAAUCUAGCUAAAAAAACAGACAACUGCCCAGGCGCCUAAUUUCACCACUUAGUGGUCAGUUUUGCCGCUGAGCGGUUUCCCUCUAAUCGCUCUUAGCGCUCAACGGACCAUUCUGGCGCUCAGCGGCUUGCUUGACCCAUCUUUUCUUCAUUUUUCUCAUUCUUUCAUGGGUCUAAGUCCACCUUACUUCACUUCCAUCUUUAAUUCAUCUAAAAACCCUGCAAAACAAUGCAAAACAAGCAUAAUAUCUCUAAAACCAACUUUUAACUCUUAAAAGACUCAACUAAGUGUUUUUACUUUAUUUAAAGCUCAUUCGAAGCCACAAAGGGUGUGUUUUACUAUACAUUUUAUGCAUGAAAAUAACAGUUUUUAGACCAUUAUCAACAAGCUCAGAUUCAUGUUCAAUGCAUGGAGAAUAAACAUUCAGACAAGAUGGCAAAAGUUGUUUCUCAUCAUGCAAAGAGGGAGAAUUAAAAGAAUGUUCAUCAACAAUAUAAUCAUCAACAUACCCAUCAUCAACAUAAUUAUCAACAUCAGACUUAAUCUUAGAUAUGUUUACCUCCACUUCCUUGAAGAUUUGUAGAGUGGUGGAAGGUGAAACUAGUCUACCUAUCUCAAAAGUGGUGCUUAUAUCUUCUUGGUCCUCAAAAUUUUCUUCAGUCUCCUCAGGUGCAAGUGUGGGGACAUAGCAGGGUAGGAAAGUAGAUGGCACAAUAGUAAGCUCAUGACUUUGCUCCCCAUCUCCUAUGUGGAUGGCACUAACAUCAUCUGGAAGAUGAAUAGUCUGGAAUGGUGAUUCCUCUGAAAAAUAAGACUGUUCCCCUAUGAGCUGAGUGGCCAUCUGCCCUAUCUGAUCAGUGAAAUUCUGAAUGGAAGCUCGGGUCUCUUGCUGGAACUGAAUGUUCUGCAUGGCUAUCUGCCUCAAUUACUCCUUCAAUGUAGGCUCAAAAGUAGUGGAAAGAUAAGGAGUUGCUUGGGUAGGCUCAUGAAACUGCAACUGUUGUUGUUGCUGGACAAGGGGAGGCUUACAAGCACUCUGGAAUGGUGGUUCUUGAUAUUGAAGCUGUGAAGUACCAUACCAUCCCAGGUUAGGAUCAUUCGACCCAGGAUCGUUGCUAUAUGAAUCAAAAAGAUGUUGAGUAGGGAAAAAUCUUUCCAAAAACCGAUGCUUAAGAUCUUCCCAAUUGGCCUUGAAUUCUGGAGGAAGAUAAUAAAUCCAUUCCCAUGCUGUUUCUUUUACUGAAUGCAGAAAUGCCUUUAAGAAAAUGCGAUCAUUCGGGACAUGUGGAGGUUUCAUUUCAGAGCAAAUGCGUUGGAACCUCUCUAAAUGUCUAUGUGGGCAUUCACCUGCAUAACCAUAAAACCUAGGCAGCAAAUCUAUCAGUCCAGAUGUGAGAAACCAAUGAACAUCAUCCUUACUAAGUGAAGCUGGCUCCCAAAGAGCACUCUCAUGAGUUGGAGGAUGAGCCAUAUUGUUCUCAGCACAGAAAUCAGCAGAAUAUCCAAAAUUAGAGUAACAUGCAGGAGUGGAAUCAUUGACAUAGGCACAGACAGAAGAAGAAGUAUCCACAUAACCAAAAUAGGUAGACAUGGUGAAAGAGGGGGAAAAGAAGAAUGCAAUGAAAAUACGCAACUAAAGCUCCCUAAAUGCAACACACAACGACGAACACACAAAAUAGAACAUCACACUCACAACACAAGACAAGACAACACACGCUAACACAACAAAAGACCUAAAACUGAACCGUUGGUCCCCGGCAACGGCGCCAAAAUUUUGAUGGGUGUCGCACCCCAUGCAAAAUUUAAUGUGCAUAAAGAAUGCAGUAUAGACUAGGAAGUGACUCCUAGGUCGUCUCUCAAGGAUCAAAUGUGGUUUGAUAAUUAGGUCAAUCAUGUAGUGGGGGGGUUGUUGAAAGGUUUAUGAAUGCGGAGAAAAACAAAUCAAAACACGAAUGCAAACAACAGUGUAAACAAAGAUGCAAACAGAAAUGUAAAAAUGGAAUGUGAAAACGGUUGGUUAUUAACUCAAUCAUUAUGCUUCCAAUCACAGAUUAACAACAAGUACACACUACUCUAAUCCAAAUCCAACACGAAUCACCCAACUAAGCGAAGGCUAAUUCGGUCUUCAGAAUUGCAGACUAAGCGAAUGCAAUGCACAAAUUUAAUCAGUCAUCCACCAUACAAUCUAAUCGACUAAGCGAAGAAUUGACACCAAUUAGGCAACUAAGCGUAUACCUAAUCGCAAGCAGACAACAGAUUAAAUAUUGAGCAGAAUCAAAGUAGUAGUAUGGCAAUUAAAGUUCAAAAGUCUCAGGGAAGCAAAGUAACUUUAUUAACAACCAACCCGACUAAUUUAAGCUAACAUCUCAACUAAAUUAACACAAUCGAACCGAACAAACGUCAUAGUAAACGGAAACAUUAAAUCGGACAAUGCAAUAGAUAAAUAUCCAAACAUAAUUAAAGCUGUCAAAAUGCAACUAGUAAGCUAAACAUUCAAAACAAUUCAUCAUGGAAAUGACACAAAGAAAACACGUUAACAGUAAACUAAAUUGCAAUUAUUCAACCGGUGAAAAUGAUCUUGAAACAUUAGAUGCAUUUAACACUAUUUGGCUGCAAGAAUUUAAUCAAAAUAAAAUGAAAAAGAAAAAAAAAGUAGCACGACUACAGCGCAACAAAUCAAUAAGAAAUAAAACGCAACUCCCAUAAUGAAGCACCGUCUUCCAUAGAAGAAAGAAAAUCUGCAUUGCUGGAAUAAAAUAUAAAGGAAACACCGUCUAUCCACUAAAUAAAGCACCGCUUUCUUCUAGCUAAGACACAAACCAAGAAAAACAGCGUGGCAAUUGCUGCCCACAAUAUGAUAGACGUUGCAGCUCAAGUUAAAUGCACCGCUCUACAAGUUCAAUCAACGUUUCCUAUUCUAUCCCAUAUCUCUCCAUUCCAUCCUCCAAAAAUCCAUAAAAAAAGCUCUCUGCUCGUUUCUUCUGGUUGUGCGGCUAGACACCUCUUUUAUAUCCUAGGGUUGCAUGCGUUAUUAAGUGAUGUCCCCCUCCAAAUAAUACCCAAUGCUGGACUUUCAAUUUACUCUUCAAACCUGGACCGAGGCAUUGUGGCUGUAGCAAGAAUCUGAUGUCCGCGAAAAGGGCUCGACAGCAUCAUGUUUUAAUCAACCUUGGUUGUUCCUUUUAAUUCCAAGCAAGCUGGACAAUUUGCACCUCUUUUUCUUUGUGUUGAACAUAGCCUAGAGGCAUGUAGGAUUGAGCAAGUGUUGCAGCCUUUCAAUUGCUGGACGCACCUCAUUCUAUUGGGCCGUGUAGAUGGAUGGCAGCUGCAGUGUGGGCCGUGACUUGAAGAUGUGUUGCACCCUUUUCCUCCAAGCACACACCUAAUUUGCUAGACCGUGUAGAAGACUGGAAGCUGGACGUUGUAGCCUUUUCUAAUUCUAAUUCUCCAAGCCCACAUGCAUGUUUGCUUUCUUUUGCUUUUGGGUCGUGCAACUCUUUCAAAUUGAAGACAACAUGUUGAGCGUGCCUUUUUUCUCUCUGCUGGACCAAACUUUCAAUUGCAAAAGUGUUGUCCAAUUUAAAUGCAACAAGCUUUUCUCCAUUUUAAAUGCAACCAACUUCUCUUGUGCCAAGUGGAUUGUGGUUGCCCACACCUCAAGCUGUUGUGUGCACCUCUUGAAGUCCCAUGAUGUGCUUCCAACACUGCUGCUGAGUUUCUCUGGUCACCUCAGCUAACCGUUCGGUCAAUACUAGCUUUCCGAUCGAUGAAACACUACUCUGGAGGUUGGUUCAUUUGUGCUCAGUGUAGGCUUCAAUAGAUCGCUCGGUCAUUGUAGGCUUCAACAGACCGCUCGGUCUAGCACACUUUGUCAGACCGUUCUGUCAAGACUCACAUGCAACUGUAAUGCCCCGAUUUAUUUUAAAGGUGUCAAUGUGUAAAUUUCUUUUUUCAAAACUUUUAUAUAAACAUUUAUUUCAAAUAAUUAAACCUUGUAUGACUAAAAUGCAGAAGCAAACCAUAACUAUUAACAUCAUCUAAAAAUCUUAGAAUAUUUCUUUUACAUAAAAUCACCAAGUCUAAAAACUUUUAAACAAUGUAAAUAAUAAACCCCGAUAAAAAGAUUCCAACUCUCGUGUUAGCUACCUCGAUCUAGUCUUAUCUGCAACAUCAUCUACUCCCGUACAAGUACGACCAUUGUGGGUGAGCAACUAAAAACAACAUAAUACGAUAUAAUACAGUAAAAUAGCAUUAAACACAAGCAAUACCAAAUAAUAGUAUCACAUCUCAACACUUGAACAAUAUCAUACCAAUCCAUCUAUAGACCAAUGGUGUUUUCUUUCAUACAUAAUGUCAACACCAUAACAUACGUAUACAACGCAUACACAAGCAUUAUAGAAUGAAAGUUGUACAAUCAUGCUACCACUUUGCUUAUAAUAAUAUUAAAACCAUAGAAAAAUAAUGUAGAAUUAGUUAAUUAAAUUUUACUACAAAUUAAUUAUAAGAAUAAAGAUAACUUACAUCAGUUGGAAUUGUUCCUCCUUCAUAGUAUGUAAUAAUUUCCUUCAUAUAUUAACACACAAAAUAUCCACAAUCAUUGUCGUUGGGUUGUCUUGGGCACUAGAAUUCCAAAAUAAAUAAAAAAACAUUUUUAUAAUUUGAACAUAAAAAAUAAUCAAAACUCUAGUAUACUCCAAACAGAUCCGAUGCAUGAUAACAAAUAACUAUAUACCAUAUACAAGUUUAAACUCUUAAUAAUAAGUCAUUCUUUCAUAACAACCAUUUACUCCUCCAACCAGUUUCACAACAAUACAAGUUAUUUAACUAACCAAUAUCAUGCAACAAAGAAAUAAUUCUUCAACUAUUCAAGAAUACAUGUUAUUCACCUAACUAGUACAAUACAAGCAACCAUAACGUGAACUAAAGGUCACAUAACGUCAUUAAACAAUGGGGCAUAUUCCUUUCGAAAAAGAAUGCAAUCAUUUGGACAAGCAUGAAUCUUCUCGUAGCUCAUCCGAGUAGAGCUUAACAUUUUUCUAGCAUCAUACAUUCGACUAGGAAGCACAUUAUCUUUCGGUAGCAUAUCUUUUAUAAGUGAUAGUAAUUCAGUAAAACUAGUAUCAGACCAUCCAUUUCGUGCUUUCAAAUUGAAUAAUUUCACGACUAUUGAUAGUCUUGUGAAACUAGUACAACCAUUAUACAAUGGUGUCUUUGCAUCCGUUGUCAACCUAUCAAACAUUUGAGGACAAUCACGCAUAUCCUCUUCGAUUACGUUUACAAUCUCCUCAACUUCAUCUAACUCAUAUGUUGUGUCAGUCUCUUUCGGUGUAUAACUUGUAUUAUGAUGAAAAUCAUUAUUUAUAUGAUUUUUUCUAUUUUCACCAUCUUUGGUCCAGCAUGAAUAACUUUUAUCAAUUCCGUUGAAUAUUAAAUGCUCUUCUAACUCAUCUGCAUUCACUACCUUUAAAUGACAACAUUGCAAGCAAGGACAAAUGAUUCUACUAGGGUUUUUUGCAUGCUCAACUGCAAAUAUACGAAAUUCUUUCACCCCAUCCUCGUAUUCUUUUGAUAAUCGACUAGCAAACAUCCAUUUUCGGUCCAUAUUUUAUUAAUAUAUCAAUAUUAAUCAAUAUAGUAUUAGCAAUAUAUACAAGUUAACACUAUUUGCAAUAACAAACUAUAAAAUAAUAUUCAUCCUACCUCAACUUUGAACACACCGUAUGUCUAAGAAAAGUUCAUAACUAGAAUCUACAAAAAGAAUAACAAUGCAAAUAGUAAAAAUGAAAUCAAGUAUUUAUAAAUCUAAUUAAACAAACCAAAUUCAAAUGAUCAUAAGAAAAUGAAAAUGCAGCUUGCAUUCAAAUUCAAAAAGUAAAUGAAAAUCAUUAAGGCUUCAGCAUUGGUGUUUAGUGUAUACUCUAUCAGAGCCCGAAUAAAGAAAACAAAGGCACUUAAGAAAAAAAAGAAGAAAAGAAAUAAAGUGAUAAUGUUUGUCUACCUAGAAAUAGCAAUAAGUUUAAUUAAAAAGUAACAGUAUUUGUCUACCUAAAAGGCCAAAGAGGAAUGUGAAGUAAGGUGGUUAAUUAAAGGGAUGGUAUUUAUAGUGGGGAAAAAGAAGCAGCAGAAGGCGCAUGCAACAUGCAAGUGGCUAAUUAAAGAGGAAUGUGCAUUAUGGUGGUAUUGUGUGGUAAUAUUAUAUUAGCUUUAAUUUUUGUUUUCUCUCUUCAUAUAUAUUUGGUCAUUUUAUAAUUAAUUUGAAUCCAAUACAUUGCAGUACUUUGUGAAAACUCCAAGAUGCAAGUAUGGUUCAAAGUGCAAAUUUAUUAUGUCUAUUUCAUUAUAAUAAAUACAAAGGCAUAACACUUCAUGAAAGUUCAGGGUAUUUUAGCAAUAUGAUCUUGUAUUGUCAAGAAAAUAUCUACUAAUAUGAAGCAAAACAGAUUUCUAUAUUCUCAAAAAGCUUAACUUGUUAAUUGGAGGUCCAAGGAAUGGUUUUAUAUCUCUGCCAGGAUGUAUAUGACUGGGCCUAAAACACGGUUGGAUUUUAUAGGAAGAAAUAUGGAGAAUUCAUAAAGUCAGAAGACAAGUUAUUACCUUUCACAUGAUGAUUUAUUUUAAAAUGAUUAGACCGCUAGGGGAACAUACAUAAUUUAAGAAAAGUACAGUAUGUUUGUCCAUGUUUUCCCUCCCUCUUUAACAUGGAUAUUUUAUACAUUUAAUAUCAUGUGUGCAAGUUCUAAUCUAUGAUAUUCGUUCAUCACAUCCUUUACGGAUACAAGAUCAUAUGUAAGUUGACGUUUGGAUUUGAGAAAUAUGUGUGUUUUAUAAAAGUAAUUGUCUCUUUAAUUAUUGAUUAGUUAAAAGUUGUUCUACAGGUAUGGCAGUAGAUAUUGGAUAUUAACUGGCAUCGUACUAUGAAUAACUAAUGCUGAUUACCAGUGAUAAUCAUGUUGUUAAGAUAUGGGAUCCUCAAACGGUAUAGGACUUGUGGCUCUUUCAUAUUUCAGAUUAACAGUUCAACUGUUUUACUCGUCAUUGAUUAGUGCACCUUGGUCAUGCUUGUUUUUUUUUUCAUAAAAUUGUCUUGUGUAGUGUUUAUUUUAUUUAGUUGGGUUAUUCAGCAGCAUUUACAUGAGAAAGAAUGGUCAAAAUUCAUGAAUCAAAUUGUGACAAGUAGGACACCCACAGAAUGACUACUUAAAGUCUCAGUUUGAGGGAUUGAAAAUUGUAAAUUCUAGUAUACAGAAAGGAGUCGGUGGCUUAGAAGAUGGGGAUUUUGACAUUGUGAAAGAAGUAAAGGAAAAAAUAUUAUUGUUAAAUAAAGAACUUUUGGAAGAAAAGCAAACAAGAAAAAAUACAUAACCAUAGAAAAAAUAGUGAUCCACAUAACUUCACCCUUGUUAACUGCUAGUGCACCCAUAAGAAAACUAUCUAAAAUAAGACUGACUAUCACAUGAAUAAGUUUCAACAUGCUUCCCAAAUUGAUCCAUAUGUGUAUUAAAAAACACCUUUUCGACCUUUAUACUUUCAAUAUACCAGUAAUAGAGACAAUUGCAUACCAAUAAAUAUAAUUAAAAGGAACAAGUGAUAAUCAUGUAGCAAGAAUUCAAUCAUACACAAAACAAGAUUAGCUCCCCAUACAUAACUUAAACCAUCAAAGAAUGCAUAAUAAAAAUAUGUACUGAAAGUAUAUGACUAAAACAGUUUUGGCCAAUUCUGAGAUAUUUUAUUGAAAAUUACUGUGAUUUUAAGGUUAUUUAGCAUGUAUUCAUUACAGGUUAUAUUCUUUCAUUAUAAAAAGAGUUAUUUUAUAACAUUAUCAUAAACAUAAGGUACUUAGCAAAAAAAAAAAAUAACCACUCGUAAGACAAGCACUUCACACUAAGUGUUAUUCCACUCAUUUAUAAUGUUAAACUUGUCUUGUUAUAUUAUAGAACAUGUUAUUUAGGUUUGGACAAUCUGUUUAAAGUUGGCGCUGAUGAUUUGGUAAUACUAGAGAAUAAAAGUGUCACUUUUUAAAGUGCUUAUUUUUGUGUUUUAAAUGGUUUUAGUCAAAUUCAGAUUUUAGUUUUUGGCCAAGUCAAAAUUUUACAAAGUCACUUGGCUUUUGAUGUAAAAAACUUUUGAGAUAAACCACCAAAAAACUUUAACGCAAAUUCUGGUUUGGAAUAUAGGUGCAUGGAUAAAAGUUAUCUACAAUAUAGAUGAGGAUUUUCAUGAAAGUUUUUAACAUUGAAAGAACCACAACUUACUGACUUAGUGAGGAUUUUCCCUUUUUUUAGAAGGAUGAUGCCAUAUAAGUAUGUUAUGUUGCAUUUUGAAAGGAUAUCUGGAUUGUCGAAUUUAGAAUUUUGUUAAAGGACAUUUUCUAGGUUGCUAUGUUCAGAGUGUAAGGCACUGUUAACUAUUUAUUUACCAUGUUUUAUGUAGAUCCUAAUGUCUACAGAAUGAUUACUUAAAGUCCCAGUUUGAGGGAUUGAAAAUUGUAAACAGUAUACAUAGUGAUUCUAGUAUACCGAAAGGAGUUGGUGGCUUAGAAGAUGGGGAUUUUGACAUUGUGAAAGAACUAAGGAAAAAAUACUAUUUUUGAAUAAAGAAUUUUUGGAAGAAAAGCAAACAAGAAAAAAUACAUAAUCAUAGAAAAAAUAGUGAUCCACAUAACUUCACUCUUGUUAACUGCUAGUGCACCCAAAACAAAACAAUCUAAAACAGGACUGACUAUCACAUGAAUUACUUUCAACAUGCUUCCCAAAUUGAUCCAUAUGUGUAUUAAAAAAGUUAUAUUCUAAGGUUAUUUAGCAUGAAUUCAUUACAGGUUAUAUUUUUUCAUUAUAAAAAAAGUUAUUUUAUAACAUUAUCAUAAACAUAAUGUACUUAACAAAAAAAAAAAAUAACCACUCGUAAGACAAGCACUUCACACUAAGUGUUAUUCCACUCAUUUAUAAUGUUAAACUUGUCUUGUUAUAUUACAAAACAUGUUAUUUAGGUUUGGACAAUCUGUUUAAAGUUGGCAUUGAUGAUUUGGUAAUACUAGAGAAUAAAAGUGUCACUUUUUAAAGUGCGUAUUUUUUUGUUUUAAAUGGUUUUAAUCAAAUUCAGAUUUCAGUUUUUGGUCAACUCAAAAUUUUACAAAGUCACUUGGCUAUUGAUGUAAAAAGCUUUUGAGAUAAACCACCAAAAAACAUUAACGUAGAUUCUGGUUUGGAAUAUAGGUUGUUAGAGAUCUUAGUGAUAAAAUCCUAACCAACUCACUCACGCACUCAUAAAACGCGCAACAGAAAAGCUGUAUAAAAGUGUGGGUAUAUUAUUUACUAUAUGGACAAGUGUAAUACACGUGUCUAUCGAGAGCUUAACCUCCCUCCACCGAUUAAAAUAUCAGUCUAUACAAAUAUGUCAAUCUCCGCCCUCACAGUAUAACCUUUUAUUCUUUAUAUACCCAUACUACCCGCUGUUUCUCUCCGCCUCACCCCUCAGACAGUUGGGCCUUGGGCCUCCUUUUCCUUCCUACUUUCAUAGACUAUCUCAUUCCUAACAUUACCCCCAUCCUAAAGUUCAACCUUGUCCCCAAGGUUGAAUUCCUCGUCAAGCUGUUGUUGCCUUCUAUUCACAACACGUAUUGGCCAACAAGUCGAUCGUAGCUUCCUCUUUACACUCUUUGCUCCAAUUGUCAGCUCCGGCUGUGACCCGUGGACUAUAGGAUAAACUCUAGCUAUGUCAGAAGGAAUAUCAAUUCCAGUAAAGCCAAUCAUGACAGAUAUAACUCUAAGGUAAUUCGUAGGACUAGGAGCAUGGCCUUUCUAGGUGUCUACAAUGGCAGCCAAUGGGAUUUGAAUAAUAAGACCAGCUGUAGCUACUGUGGUAGAUGUUAGAAGAACAGCCUGGGCCCACCAGUAACCACUUAGCAAAUUAUCCCACAGUCCUUUACCGAUUAUCAGACUAAGUUGUUUCCCCGUACUCAAACUUUUCAUCUUGGUAAAAUUAAACAUGAGGGCAACCGAGAAUGUUAGGGAGACCAAGAAGGUGAAGAGCCUGGAUGCGUUGCUUAAGAUUGUGUUUGAUGUAUCGGUAGUGUACUUCAAUGGCAAGUUAAAGGCGAGUUGAGCCAAAAACCAAAAUGGGCAGAUUAAAAAACUAACUCCGGCCCCUCUGCACCGACUCAACCACCCUUUCUCAUCAAACGGAUGAUCACCCUUUUCAAUCACAUUAACUCGAUCAUCAACCAAUACGUUUGUCCUUGUCUCUAUGUUAGGACUCUUUAGUAGGGCCUCAUGUGCAAUUACUUCCCAUGCUACGGUCGGGUCCCCUCUGAUUGUCACUUCUUUUCCUCCUUGUUUGAAUUACAUGGUCAACUUACCCCAAUUCAUCACUACCUCCCCCAACUUAGCUAGCCAGUCCACUCCCAGAAUCACAUCGAUACCUCCCAAUUCAAACACGUGAUACUGCUCUGCAAUCUCAACUCCACCCAGCUGUAACAUUAUCCCUUGGCAGCAUCCGUGAGUCUGUUUUCGUUGUCCAUCACCCAAGCAAACUGGACUCGUCUGGUCUUUGUUCACCUCUAGUUGGAGCUCUUCCACCAGCGCCUUUGAUAUAAAGUUGUGGNUGGCACCACUGUCCACCAUUAUCAAUACCACCUUGUCCCUCAAGCUCCCUUGAAGUUUCAUGGUCCUCGGUUGGGUCAUCCCUCCUGUAGAGAGCAAUGAUAAUUCUAAUCACUCGUUCUCCAACCACUUCUUGGUUUCUCCAAGGUCUUCCUCCUCAUCUUCUCCUAAAAUUGUCACUCGCAAACUCCGUUCCGGACAUCGAUAUCCAGGGCCGAACUGGCCACCACACCUGAAACAACGGCCUUCUUCACGUCUCCUAAGAUAUUCCUGGUAGGGAAGAUUUCGCACCCCUCUGCCCAUGGUGUCGUCUCCCCCUGCACUCGUUUUUUCCCGAGCUACCUUCUCCUCCCCCAUAUCCUACACUAUUUGUAAAAAUCGUUCUUUCGCUUUGGUUACGAAUCGGUUCAACUCAAACUAUCGCCCCCGCAGUUCGCCUCCCAGAUAUUGGUGGUCGACUCGCAUUUCCACCCCUGGUCUUCGUUCCUCCCUGUAUAAUCUCUACAUCUUUUGCGAUUCGCAUCACCGUCAACAGUUCCUGCGGAUCGUGUGGGCGUAUACGAUCCCUCACGCUGUCUUGUAAUCUGGCUAAGAAAUAGCCUAGUAAUUGCUCGUCCGUCAACCCCUUCGUUUGCCCCACCAGGAUUUCGAAGUCGCGUAUUGAUGAGUCGAUAUUUUAUUGAUUUCACUUAGUUCAUUGUGCUAUAAUUAAUCAGGGAAUUGUGCUUAAAUUUCCAGUAUUUUUCCGUUUUUGCUAAUUGUGCUUAAUUUGACCAGAAAUUCUAAUUUUAAUUAAUUUGAAUUUUCUGAGCUAAUUAAUUGCAUUAUUAUUUUCAGGAAAAUUUUAGAUAAUAUUUUAGGACCCAAAAAGAGAAAUGCCUCAUAAAUUGAUUCCAAAAUGGGAAGUGUAGACUUGGAAUUUUUGUCUCUAAAAUUGAGAACAGAUUUGGAAUGCAAUUUCAAUUUUAGAUUCGAAAGAAGCGGUGCACUUACGGUGUAUUAUAUUUUGAAGGAGCACACACGCCGUCACUCAUAUAAGAAUUUUAAAUCUUCAUUCAAUUGCAAAGUGAGAAUUUGAGUGUCUAGCAUGCCAUGGCCCACUCCUAAAAGAAGAAAUGCUGCAACACUUGAAGAUAUGCCACAAUCUAUGCACUUUGGUUUUGUGGUCUAGCUGCAAGUGAAAAUUUGGUGGUGUGCUCAACAUAUCACGACCCAAGUAGCUUCCAACAACAACUUGACACGUCCAGUAGGGGCUGCUACAUCUAGUAAAAAGAGAGGCGCGUUGUCCGUGCUUGAUGCAGCACAUUCAAUCCACAAUCCAGUAGCUACCAAGGAACUCACAUGCGGAAAGAAAUAAAAAAAGAAAGUUGGCAACAGCAGCACAUGCUCGACCCAUGUUCAAGCAACAAGCGUCCAACUUUGAGAAGCAUUCGGUCCAGCAAGAAGCAUCCAAAGUUGCUGACUUCAUUGGGCUUUUGGAGAAUGAAUAGCUGAUUUUAUUUAGAAGUGUGCUACCACACGCUCCAGCAGCUUUGGACGUUCCUCAAGGAGAGCUGCUCAUUCUGCAAGCAUCUUCACGGUGCAACCUGUAGGACCAGCUUUUGCAACAACGUUCCCAGCAGCUUCAGCCCAGGCAGUUGGCAAUUAAGGAAAGCAGCACACGUCCACAAGUAGCCCAUACGUGAAGCGGUCCAACACAUGGUGAUUGAAAGUGAUGCAGCAACACACAAUAGCAUUGCACACAGCCUGGUCCAAAUUGAAUAAGAGUGUGCACGUUGGAAGAAGAUGCAGCAGCUCAUCUGUCCACGCACAUGGCUGCACAACCUCACAUCCAGGAGCAUCCAAUCUAGAAGCGGUGAUGGGCUGAUUCAUCCAGCAAACUCUUUGGCUGGCCGAGCUCUCCACGGUCCAACAUCUUCAAGUCUAGCAGCAGCUCUUCACGGUACAACAUUUUAUUUGGCUGCAACACUUAAAUUUAACUUGGGCUGCACCAUUCAGCAACACGUAGCAGCUGAAUCGCAUGGGCUGGACAUCACGGAGCAUCCAUCCAGCAGCAACACGUGGAGGAAGGGCCCAUGGGUGAGGCAUUUUAAUUAGGUUUGGGGAUUGUUGCAAAAGGAGAAGCAGCCACACACUUUAAAAAAUACUGUUACAUUGAGGGGGGCAUCAGGGACCAGCCGACAGACAGAAAAGGAUUGGAAUUUUAUUUUCAUGGAGGUGUGGAAGCCACCCUAGGAGAUUUAAGAUUUUUGAAAGAGUUGCACACGUUCUGAUUGAUAGUAAAAAUAGUAGCUAGUAUUUUUUUUAUUUCAAUUGGUUGAAGAUGGAGGUGUGCACGUUGUUGACUGGAAGAAAUAUUCACACGGCUUCAAUGUUUUUAAUUACCUUUGUUGAUUCAUCAUUGCAUCUUUCAAUAUUCAACCUUUACCUUUAGCAAUUCUUGUUAAACAUGUACUGUUACGUUUUCUUUAUUUUUAGAGCUGAACCAUGAUGAAUGUUUGGUAACGUGUGCAUUUCUUUCCUUGCUAAAUUGUGUGUUUCAAUAGCUUGUAGGUGUGUCUUUUCUAUUUUAUUUUGAUUAAACUUUUGCAGCAAAUCCAUAAAUGCAUUUAAUGUUUCAAAGUCCUUUCACUAGUUCAACAAUUGUCAUUUAGUUUACUGUUAAUGUAUUGUUCCUUUUCUUUGUGCCAUGUCAUGAAUCGUCUUUUAAUUUCUUUAGCCUAUUCUAUGCAAUUUCUUCUAAGUUUUAUUCCCACAUUAAUUAGUUCACACGCUUUGGUAUUAAAUGUUUUAUUUUAAUGUUUUUGUUUAUUUUUUUUAUGUUCGGUUGUGUUAAUUUAAUUGUCAUGUUAGCUUAGGUUAGUCGGGUAGGUCAUUAGAGAUAUUGCAUUGCUUCCUUGAGAUUUAUUGGAUUGAUCUUGUGUUUAUAUUGCUCUGCCUGGCAUUCUAUGAAAUCUGAUUGUGUUCUUGCAAUGGGUAUACGCUUAGUUGCCUGAUUGGUGAUUGCAUCUUCGCUUAGUUGAUCAAUCUGUAUAGAACUCAUUGGAUGGAAUAGGAGUAUUGCGUUCGCUUAGUUCGCAAUUAUGAUAGCAUGGUUAACCUUCGCUUAGUCGGUUAGUUGUGCUGGAUUGGAGGUUAGAGUAGCUCCUUUAUUGUGUUAAUUUGUGAUUGGAAGCAUAGUGAUUGAGUUAAUUACCAACCAUUUUUAUUCUGUAGUUGAUUCAGUUUUUAUGUUUCUGUCAUCACUAGGACUUCUUCAAGGCUUAUAAUGUUGUUGGGCUAACAAGAAAAAUUGGUUCUUCUAGAUCACAAAAUCCUUGAGUUAAGAGAGUCAUUCAAGCAUUCAUAGUUCAAGCACAAACUCUCUUUUUACCAAUCUCACUCAUUCCCAAGUUUCCCUUUUCUAUUCAUUUUAUCUUUUCUAACUUUUUCAUCUUUUUAUGUUUUGAUCAACACAUUAGCUCAAUGCUUAUCUUUCUUUCAAUUUUCACAACAACCCCAAACUUGAACCUUAAUCAAUACCACAUAGUAAUUCUCAACUUAACUCAAGGUAAAGAUUUUUCAAAAGGGAUUUCACAUACUGUUUAAGGCUUAGGUUCAAAAACGGUAGAACACAUUGUUCUUUUUGAUGGGACAAAAAUUUUGCAUUAGUUAAGAAAAGGGCUUGUUCGAAAACAACCUUGAUCAUAUGACACAUACAUGCAAUUCAGUCAAAUGGGCAAUAUCAUUCAUGCUUUCAAGUAUAUAGAAAUCAUUUAAUCAAAAACUCUAGAGUUCAAAACCUUACAUAUAAGCUCGAUCAUUAUUCCAAACAUCCCAGAUAAAUACCCUACUUAGAAUCAUAAUCACAAUCACAACAUCAUGCAUCUAUUCACAAAGCUUGUGAACCACCACCUGUAUAUCAUCAUAUUGUGCAAUCUCAACAUCAAUCAAUAUCAAGCAUCAUUAAGUAACACCCAUCAUGCAAAAACAUCAAUCAAACCAUCAUAACAAAUAAAGUGUUAACCAAGUACAUUAAAACCUACAAUACUAAACAGAAGAAAAUAAGGUUCAAAUUAAAAAUCCAGAAAGAUAAGAAAAAGAAAAACUCAUGUUCUAAUCACUAUAGCAUCCAUUAGUAGAUGCUAUAUAAGUUGCUCAACCCAUGUUGUCAUCUGAGUCCUUGAUAACGGUCUAAAAACCGUUAUUUUUAUGCUUAAAUAUGAUCUCAAAACACACCCUUUAUGGCUUAGAAUGAGCUUAAAAUCAAGUAAAACAUUUAGUUGAGUCAUGAGGGAGUCAAAAGUUGGUUUUAGAGAUAUUAUGCUUGUUUUUGUAUUAUUUUGCAGGGUUUUGAUGAGAAUUAAAGAUGGAAGUGAAUUAGGACGAGCUUAGACUCAAGAAGGAAGAAGAAUUAGGAAGAAAAGAAAGUCUAUGCACCGUGGAGCGGCCCAAAUCAGCGAUGAGCGGUUAGAGCGUUUAUCUGUUUUUAUUGGGCUUAGAUUCUGUUAUCUUUUUGGUCUAUAAAUAGGCCCAGUGCGAUUGAAAUUGUAAUCUUUUGGCAGACAGAGACGUCCAAAGCAGUUCUACACACCUUGGAGGAGGUACCUUGGAUGCUUCGGCUCCAACCUACCAAAUUUAGGGUUUAUUCUUCCAUUAUUUUUCAUCUAGGUUCACCAUGUCCGUGGUGAACUAAACCCUAGGUUAUUGGGGAACAGUGUAAUCUUUUAAAACUCUCUUAUAUCAAAAUUCUUAUCUUCUUUAUAUGCUUGAAGAUGCUUAUCUUAUCAAUUAUUGGGUUCCUUACCUUUACUUAAUGCUUUUAUCGUUUAACUCAUUCAGUAAAUGUUGUUUGUCUUUAUUGAUACGGAGACGUACAGUAAUGUCAUGAACUGGGAGGAAUUCCUUGAUUAUGCUAAUACCACCUAGAGAUAGGGGUAGGAUGAUGAUGGGUUGUCGCCGCCCAUACAAAUUUGAUUGCAUACGAGAAAUGCAGUAUAGCUAGGAAGUGGCUCCUAGGUCGUCUCUGAAGGACCAAUUUUGCGGUUCGAGUCUUAGGUCUAACACGAAGGGGGGGGGGGUUUGAAAAGUGUUCUUGCAAGGAAGAUUAAAUUAAAUUAAAACUGGAAAUUAAAUACAACCAAACAUAAUUGAAAACAUUGAAAUAAAUGAAAAUAAACACGAAAAUCGAACAGUCCUACAGAUGACCGAACGGUUCUACAUUGAGACCGAACUAUCACUAAAACAAGUGAGGAAAUUGGAAAUGCAAGAAAAUAAAGAAACCUGACAAAACAAGCAUGAUAGUGAACUGAAACAAUAAACCCAACAUAAUAGAGAACAUCAAAGUAAAUGAAAUACUAAAUCUAACACUGUAACAAACAACUAUCUAACACAGUUAAAUUAAUUUAAAUGCAAAACUAAUUUAAUGAAAAGAAAAGCAACUAAUCCUACUAUGUAAACUAGUUUAAAGCUAAAGAGAUAAACAAACAUGAUUUUCUUUCUACCACCAAGUAAAUCACGGUGCUUUUCCCAGUAUCAUCCACCACUUGUGCGCAUGUGUAUACACUACUUCUAGCAUUUCUAUUGAAUCACCAUGGUGCUUCUAAAAAUAUGGAAUGUGCAACGUGACAACUCACAAGAGAAUUGAAGAUUAAAAAUUCUUCUAAAAUGCAUCUUCACUGUCGUGACACACUUACCUUCUUUAAGUAAAAGCCCAAAAGAAAAACUUCUUCUUUCCAUGUAACCCACCGUACACCUACUUCUAUGAAGAUUAAAAGUGGCACUUCAAUAAAUAAUGAAACACAUUGCUUUUCCUCCUUGUGGUCGUGGCUGACAAAAUUGUCCAGCCCAUCUUAUCAUCAUUGAAUCCCACCAAAUUACAUCUUCAAUCUACCUAAUUCCUUUCAAUUCAAAAUAAAUAAAAGAAAACGGCAACCUAGACUAAUCUACUUACCAUUUCACUAAAACAAAAGGAACCUAUCACGUCCCAUUACCUAGACUUUCUCCUAAUCUACCUUUUAAAAGCAAACAAAGAUUAUAUAUAUAAAAGCAACCCUCUAUUGGACAUAAGCAAAGAUUGAACAUGAUGCACCUUUUCCUUCAAAAGCCAAAAGAAAGUGUUUUUAUUUAAAGUAAAUGAAUCCCCCGUUAUCUCAACUAUCACCGUGAGAAAGAAAUAAAAGUGCUUCUUCAAUUGCUAGAGUUCUCCCCUCCAAGAACGUAAUGUGCAAAGUUCAUAAUCUAAAGGUGUCAAAUCAACAAAAGCAAAUGAGCUCCUAAAAGCAAAAAUAAAUUAAGGCUUCAGCAAAAAUGAAUAACCGAGUGUGGACACUGCACCUGCAAAGCUAAAUCACGGCUGUUGCAGCAUUGCACCUAAUUCAUUCACUGUUUGAAACUAUUAAAAUAAAAAGAAAGAUGCUCAUGCAAAUAUAAAGGAAAGUAAAAUGACAGCAGCACGUAAAUUUCAUUCUCCCAUUCAUCCAAAAUCCAUCACCAUUAACAUUGGUUCAAAGAAAAUUACAAUCUGUAAAAUAAACGUUCUAGUAGCAGUCCUCCUUGAGAGAAUGACGGCUGAUAGCUUUUUGGGAUCCCUAGGACCAUGUGUCCUAAAAUUGGGGUGGGGUCCACCCUAAAAAAAUAAAACCCUAGGGUGCCAAGUGUCCUACAAUUUUGGGCCCUCAUAUUUUUGCCAACAAUGGCCUAAUGUGUAAAAAUUUGUCUAACAAGUUUAAACAAUUAAAUUAAUAGAUAACUAACAUUUAAAAUGUCUAAUAUGAGUGUCUUUACUUUAUUUUGUCUCCUUCCCAAUGCUUCAAAUUGUAUCCCCAAAAUUUUCCCUGCAAAUAUAAAUGCAAAUAAUUAGCUCAGAAAAUUCAAAUUAAUUAAAAUUAGAAUUUCCGGUCAAAUUAAGCAUAACUAGGAAAAAUGGGAAAAUACUGGACAAUUAAGCACAAUUCCCUAAUUAAUUCUUGCACAAUAAACUAAGUGAAAUCAAUAAUAUAUCGACUCAUCAAACGAUCAAUUGUAUUUUGCUUCCGUUUAUCAUGCAUUAUUAGUUACUAGGUGAGGCUAGAGAUAGCAAGCCAGUAAUUAGUAAUAGGCUCUUUUCGCCAAGAGAUUGGGUUCAUGGUAGACUAAGAAAGUUUGCAUGAAAAUAUGAUAAAUAGGCGAAUUAGAUAAGAAAAGUAGAUAUAAGAGGGUGGAUAAGAUGAAAUUGUAAACCCCAACAACUUCAUUCAUCCAUAGCCUUUUCUAGCCAAUUGAUUCAUUGCAUUUUGCAUGUUUAUUAUAGUCCUUUGCAUACAAAACCUAUAAUUAAUUUAUUUUCUCAAGUCUUAUGCGAUCUCUUUACAUGAAAGUUAAGGCCUAAGAGUCCUUUGGGAAACGGUAGUCGGACUUACCCGUUUUAUAUUACUUGAUAAUGAUCUGGUACACUUGCUAAGGACUUAACAAUGUGCUGGAACCUGAUCCUGUGGUGCCAUCCUCCUAGGAGGUCUCUAAGUUACUCGAAUUUGGUUAUCGAGUUUCUUGAUCUUUUUAUAUCAGUUUUCUUCAAUAUGAUCUCAUUGCUUGAUUGUUAUUAUAUUGUUUGACUAUGAUUAUAUUGUGAGAUUGUUGAUAGUUGUAUCUUUGCUUGAUUGAAUUGUGCAAUCAUACCACUGAUACAAUCUUGAUACAAACUGAUUGCACGCUCUUAUAUCUAUGUGACUGCAUUGUGCAUCUAAUUCUGAUUUGUUGUACGCAUAAUGACAGGGGGAGCAUUAUUUGUUUGCAUAGAUGUUUCACAUGCCUACAUUCUAGGGGGAGCUUAUAUAUCUUAUGUGAAUAUCUUUGAUAGGGGGAGCAUCACUGCAUGUUUAAAAUGCUUAUUUCUUCACUAAUGCAUCUCUAUAUAUUUUUUUUAUUAUCAGCAUAUCCAUAUCUAAAAGCAAACCUUUUUUGCUAAUGCACAAAGGGGGAGAAAUAUUGUGAAAGAUCGAUUAUGUGAAUGUUUGCUUGAUAAUUCUUUAUUCAGAGUAAUUGGGGUGAAAUAUACUUUGAACUUGCUCUAAUACAUUUGCUCUGAUACAUUGAUACUAGAUAAAAUCAGUUAAUUAUGUUUGUUUGAUAUAAUACUUAUUUUAUGAGCUGUUUGUGUACAAACAUGGUUGUGCAUCAUCAAAAAAGGGGGAGAUUGUUGAGAUUGUUGAUAAGGGAAGCUAACCUUAAUCUCACAGUGCUUUAAUCACUCUGGUUUUUUAUGAUUACAAUAAAUUAUUAAUAACACAUGUCUUGUUAUGUGUUACAUGUUCUGUUGCUUAUUGAUUGAUAUCUUAUUGAACAUAUUUUGUGUUGAUCUUGAUAUAUGAAUGCAUAUUCACUAUUCUGAUAUAUGUUACAUCUGUUGUGAUUACAUUACAUAUGUUUUCGAAAUGGAAAACCACAUGCACUUUAGAUGAACUUAAAUUGUGUGCCAAAUCUGCAUGUCCUAAUUCAACUCCAUUAUUAAUAGUGUCGAUUAAGACUAAAGACUUUGCACAGAUUUUCAAAUACAAUGCUAUGUGAGAUUUUACAUUAAAAAGAAUUUCAAUAUGUGUAGAAGUAUAUAAGACAACUAUGUGCAAUGUGUAUUCGACUUAGUUAGCUGUUUGAUUUGGAAUUUUGUUAUGCUUGUGAACAGUAACGACUACAUUUUCAAUAGUCUGUUAGCAUUGAUUACCUUAUCGUGAUUAUCUACAAUUAUCUAUGAUCUAAAUUUAUUUUGCAAAACCUGAUUGUGAUAAUAUUGUGAGAUUGUUAAAGUUUGUAUCAUUGCAUAACUAAAUUGUUUGAUAUCUUGUCUUUGAUACAACUCUGUGCAUUACUGAUUGUAUACUCUAUAUAUUUGUACUGCAUUGUGCAUCUGAUCUGGUUUUGAUAUUUAUGCAUAAUAACAAGGGGAGUAUUACAUUUUACACAUUUUUUUCACUUGCCUUCAUUUUAGGGGAAGUUAUCUUGUACAUGUAAUUAAAUGUGAUAGGGGGAGAUCAUUGCAUGUUAAAAAAUUGCACAUUUUUUACGAUGCAUCUCUGUUUGAAUAUCAACAUAAAUAUCUAGAGCAUUCCUUUUUUGUUAAUGCACAAAGGGGGAGAGAAUUUAUGAAAGCUUUAUGAAAAGGGGAGAAUGUUUUUCUCUCAUAUUCUGCUUGAUAUUUUGUUGUCUUUUACUACUCUGUUUUGCAUUUGAUUGUACAAACAUGGUUGGUUAUUAAUGAUGGUUGUGGAUCAUUAAAAAAGGGGAAGAUUGUUGAGAUUGUUAACAACACAAUAUCUAUAUCAUUCUGGUUUUUGAUGAUGACAACACAUUGUUUAAUAACACACAUAUGUUUUUUGUGUGUUACAUGUUCUUAUGCUAAAUGUUUGAUAUAUUUGUUGAACAUGUUUAUGUUCUGAAUUGCUAUGUGAAUGCAUACAUAUUGAGCUUGUAAUUGUUACAUCAUUUUUGGAUGCAUUGCACAUGUUUUAAUGCACGAAAACCACAAGCAAUUUUAUGAACUUAAAACUGUGUGACAAAGCUGCAGUAAAGUCGAAUCCAUCAUUAAUUGAUUCGAUUAUGCUAAAGUCUUUGUACAGAUUUUGAGAAUCAGUGCUUUGUGAGAUUUUGAGAAGAAAAGAAUUUCAAAAUGAUCUCACUUGUCGAAGUCGACUAUGUUCGCUACAUAUUCAACUACAUUAGUUGUUUGAUUUGAAAUUUUGUUAUGCUCUUGUACUCUAACAACUAUAUUUUCAAAAGUUAGUUGAGCAUUGAAUAGUAGGUCAACUCAAUUAAAUGUGUUUUUAUUUUGGUUGACUGAAUGCUACCAGUUUGACUGAACUGUUAUAACUGUCAUAACUCAAUCGACUGUAUUAGUAGCUUAUUCGACUCAAAGAAUGUCUGUUAAACAAAAAUCUAUAAAUUGGUUGAACACGAAGGUGUUCAGUGACUUUUGAUGAUCUAACAAUUUCAUUUCUGUUUCAGAUUGAUAUCUCUGAUCUUAGAGCUCCAAGAAUUCUCCACGAAGACGGUGGUGAUCUUUGUUGAAAGAAUGCACACACAUUGCUUGAUCAUACUCUGCACAGUAAAGUUGUUUUUGGUUGAUCAACAUUCUGGCUUGGCAUCCUCGAAGAUUCUUGCGUUAGACCUAUUAUCAUUACAGGGGAUAGACUCGUGGAGUGUUGUUCACUUUGAGGAUUGUUCAAAGUGGUGUUUGGCAUAUUGCAGGAGAGGGGACAUCUUGCUGCAAGUCUUGCUAUGUUUCUAGCCUAUAGUUUGGUUAAGGGUUAGAGAGGUGAUGGGUGUCGCAGCCCAUACACAUUUAAUAGCAUAAAGAAUGCAGUAUAACUAGGAAGUGACUCCUAGGUCGUCUCUCAAAGACUAAAUGUGGUUUGAGAAUUAGGUCAAACACGUAGUUGGGGGGGGUUGUGGUGAAAGAAUUUGUGAAUACGGAUAAACAAAAUUAAAACACGGAUGCAAGAGAAAUGUAAACACGGAAUUGCAAACACAGAUGUAAAAAUGGAAUCAAAUGUAUAAUGAAAACGGUUGGUCAUUAACUCAAUCAUUAUGCUUCCAAUCACAGAUUAACGACAAGUACACACUACUCUAAUCUAAAUCCAACACGAAUCACCAAACUAAGCGAAGGCUGAUUCGAUCUUCAAAAUUUCAAACUAAGCGAAUGCAAUGCUCAAGUCCAAUCAGUCAUGCACCCUACAGUCUAAUCCACUAAGCGAAGACUAAACACCGAUUAGGCAACUAAGCGUAUACCUAAUCGCAAGCACAUAACAGAUUAAAUAUUUAGCGAAAUCAGAGCAGCAACAUGGCAAUUAAAGUGCAAGAGUCUCAUGAAUAAGCUGCUCUAUCCUCUAAUCCAGCACAACUAACCGACUAAGCGAAGGUUAAUUGUGCUAUCAUAAUUGCGUACUAAGCAAACGCAAUACACCUAUUCCAUCAUAUGUGUUCUAUACAGAUUUAUCAACUAAGCAAAGAUACAAUCACCAAUUGGGCAACUAAGCGUAUACCCACUGCACGAACACAGUCAGAUUUCAUAGAAUGUCAGGCAGAGCAGAAUAAACAUAAGAACAGUCCAAGAAAUCUCAAGGAUACAAAGCAAUUUUAUUAAUGACCAAUCAACUAACCUAAGCUAACAUGACAGUUAAACUAUCACUACCAAAAAUACUAAAUGAAAAUGCUAAACCUAACUCUNCAAUAUACAAAUAUCUAAACAUAAUUAAAGCUAUUAAGAUGCAACACUAAAUUAAGAAGAUGAAAAACUACUAUACAUAUAAUGUAAAAUAUUUAAAGCAAAAGAAAUAAAAAAAAUAUAAAAUUGUUUCUACCAUUUACGUGACUAAGUGCUCUACCAAAAGAAGUUGAAAUUGCUUUUCCUUUUGAAAAACCAUCUUGGCCGUGACAUCCAUUCUCUAAUGUGCAAAAGAUGAAAUGAAAUUGUUUCUAUAAAUGGAUCCGUACCUACUAACUCUAAAAGCCAAGAAGUAAUUUAAUUCCAAUUCUUUCCUCCCAUCACUCAAAACCCGUGGCAGCAAACCUACAUUCCCCAAGAAAGUAAAAUGAAUAAAUCACAUAAUGAUGAAAGGACUCCAUGCUGAACAUCAACGGACCCACACUCACCAGAAGUCGUGACAUCACUGUAGUGCUGCACCUAUACGAAACAUGUAUCAACUUCUCCAAAAUGAAUUCAUUUUCUUCUCUCAACACCACCAUCGUACAAGCAUCACCUAAUCCAAUCUAAUCAACUCUUCACUCUUCAAAUAAAUAAAAGAAAAGAAAGCUAGCUACUCCUACAACUACCAACACCGUCCCAUCACCAUAAACUCUCACUUAAUCCACUUUUCAUUCAUUCAAAGCAAAAGGUUGUACGUUGCAGUUGUGGCAUCAAAUAAUCAUAAAACAAAAGCUAAAUGGUGUCAGCAGAUCCUUCUUCAUCCAAUGCCCUUCACCGAUAAAAACAUUUCCAAGCUCUCCAAAAUGUUCCAGCUGAGAAGAAGAACAAGAAGUGUGUCAGCUCCCUUUUUGGUAGGGGGGUUUUGAAAAGGUUUUGUGGUGAAUGCGGAUGAACCAAAUCAAAACACUUACGCAAACAGAAAUGCAAAGAAAAGAAAUUUUAUAUUGUGUGUGUGCUUCCCAAAGAAAAGAAAUGUCUGAGCUGCAGCUCAAGACCGAGACAUGUGUCUCCUUCCGUGUGUGUGCCAUUCUCAAUUAUCUUCUUCAUUACAUAAAGCAAAAAAAACGUUACUUCAUCCUAUUCUAAAGCAAAUUAAGUUGAUAAUAAAAUCCCAUCUUCAAGGACCGUGACAGUGCUCAACAUCCCAUCACCUAGACUAUUUCUUUCUAAAAGAAAUGGAUUGAAUUGUUAACCAUCCAGCUUGAGACGUCUCAACCUAGACUUCCACACUUAAUGUAUUCUUCAUUCUUCAAAUGAAAGAGAAAAGCUUCCAAUGAUUUACUGCACCCAUGCCAUUCAAUGCAAUGAUAAAAAAAAUGUUAUGCUUCCAAUUAAAGAAAAAUAGAAUAAAAUUUUUUACGUAAGAAAAUAGAAAUUAACGGCUUCAAUAAAAAAAAAGCAUAAACCAAAUUAAAAUCACAGACCAACAAUAAAAGAAAAGAGACGAAUAAAAUUCAACGCAAAGUGUUGGAAUAUAUUUGAAUGAAACAAGCUUUUUGGAAUUGAAAUUCUCUUUUCAGUUCACACAAGCAGAAAGUGAAAAAAAUGACAAUCCUCUUUAUAGCUCAACCGUAGCCCUCCAUCAUGAAAAGCAAGAAAAGAAAAAUGAACGGGGUCACGACUGGUCCCCCCCCUCUCGCUCAAUUGCCGAGAAUGAUAUAUAUAUCUCCAAAAAUGUGUGGCAGCUGCAGCCAAGUGUAGGGCAUCGUGGAACAUGGAAGCAGCUGGGCUGUCCGUGAGGUGCUGGUGGACUGCAACGUGGACUGUUGAACCUUGCUUUGCUAGACACACCUCUCAAGCAACUGGGUGUUUUCUGAUGUGAGCUGAGAGUUUCUUGCAGCUGCUGGACGCACCACAAAUUCACUUUGCUGGACCUUGUGCCCAAGCAGCUGGAUGUAACGUCUCGACAAAUUACAAGGACUGCUGACUGCCCUCACACAUCAAUAUGAGGCUUUCCAGUGUGCUUUGUCCUCACUCACACACUUUCCGAGAAAACUUCCCGGAAGGUCACUCAUCCCAUAAUUACUCUAGGCUAAGCACGUUUAACCAUGGAGUUCUUAUGAGUUAGGCUACCGAAAAGCAAAUGCAUUUGUUGAUAUGAGUAGCCAAAUCAAUUCCUUUAAGCUAUCCUUCAACUGUAUAGUCCCACACCUAUACAAUCUCCAGAUCCCUCUCAUUCCGGUGCAAGAAGCAUGGUGUAGGGGGCACAGACAAGGAGCGGCUCCUGGCAGGCUUCGAGUGGAAGGGGCACAUGGACGAAUCAAGCAUACACCGGAAUGAGAGGGGUCUAGAGACUGUAUAGGUAUGGGACUAUACAGUUGAAGGAUAGCUUAAAGGAAUUGAUUUGGCUACUCAUAUCAAUAAAUGCAUUUGCUUUUCGGUAGCCUACCUCAUAAGAACUCCAUGGUUAAGCGUGCUUAGCCUAGAGUAAUUAUGGGAUGGGUGACCUUCCGGGAAGUUUUCUCGGAAAGUGUGUGAGUGAGGACCAAGCACACUGGAAAGCCUCGUGUUGAUGUGUGGGGGCAGUCAGCAGUCCUUGUAAGUUGCCGGGGCGUUACACCAUCCCUCCAAUUUUCUUCAAGAAACGCUUAAGCAUCAUAUUAAAGCUAGAUCAAGAAUCUAUCAUGGAUCGUCCUACAUCAACACCAUUCACAAAACAUGGAAGAUUUAAACAACCUGGAUAUUUUACCUUAGGCGGAUAAUUCUUCUUUUGAGGUUGAAUAUCAAAUUCCUGCUCCUCUUCAUCAAGAUCUAUUAUAUCUCCAAAAUAAAACUUUAUUCUUUUAGAAUAUACAAGAAUCUAUUGGAUCACUGAAAGCACUACAAUCACCUGGUUAAAAGUUUCUCUAGACUGCCCACUAUGAUUGUCUCUUACUUCGUCUUCUUCCUCACCUUCACUACUAUCUAGCUCAAUAAUUUCUUUUUCCUCUUCUUCAUCUUCACUACUCCCAAUUUCCACAAUAUCCCUGUCCACCUUCCUUUUGCUCCUUAUAACCACAACUUUACACUCCUCUUUAGGGUUAACAUCAGUAUUAGCCCUAAACUAAUUCUUCUCAAUGGUUUCUACCCUCUUUGAUUGCUGACCAAUUUGCAUCUCCAAAGAUCUGAAACAGGCUUGGUCACUUGCAUGAUUACACUCAUAAACCUUCAGGAAUUUUUCAAACCUAUUAUUUAGGUCUUUGACAGUCUCUGUCAAGUGAUUAACCUGCUGCCACAGAGGUGAAGUUUGUUGCGGUUGAAAGCCUCCUGUUUGUCCAGAUGGGUUAUUCUAUGGUUGCCCAAUGCUAGAAUGAUUCUUCCAACCUUGGCUAGAGUUUCCUUGGUUGAAGUUCCCCUGCCUAUACUAGAAUUGAUUCCCUGUAUAGUUUGCUUCAUGUUGCAUCUCCUCUGGUAUAGCACAUUGACCAUUGAUAUGGUCACCACCACAGAAAUCACAAAGCUGUUGUGCUUGGGAGACAUUACGAAUCUCCUUAGGAAGUUGAGAUAAGAUCUUUGUCAAAUUAUCUAGCUUUUGAGUCAGAAGAUGGUUCUGAGCUAGCAUACUGUAGGCAAGUGCAAAACUCCUCUCUUCUGAACAGGUGCGCCCCUUUCACUGUAAGUUUCCUGCUUAUUAGCAGCCAUACUCUCAAUUAAGUCAUAGGCUUCAUCUUCAGUCUUCCUUUUGAUAUCACCUCCAACUGAGGCAUCAAGCAUCAUCUUAGACUACGCGUUCAGACCACCUAGGUAAGCAAGAACUACACUAGUCUUGUCAAAAUUGUGGACUGGUGUCUUCCUCAAUAAGGCCUUGAAUCUUUCCCAGGCUUGACCAAGAGUCUCCUCCAUGCCUUGUUUGAAUGAUGAUAUCUCCAGCCUUCCUUGAGUAACUUUGGAUUGUGGAAAAUAUUUAUUGACAAAUUUAGUUGCCACAGUCUCCCAUGUGGUGAAUGUUCCUUCAGGAAAGGAAUUCAACCAUGUCUUAGCACUGCCUCCCAAUGAGAAUGGGAACAAGCUAAGCUUUACUCGUUCAUCUGGCACGCUCGUCAUCUUCACAGUGUUACAGAUUUCACUAAAUGUUGUCAAAUGAUCAUAUGGGUUCUCAUUUGACAAGCCAUGAAACUGGUUGCCUUGCACCAGAUGGAUAAGUGUUAGAUUAAUCACCAUGUUAGUCGUAUGGUCUGUUGGCAUGGCUAUGCUAUUGAAGUGGAAAGGGCCAAAAACAUUAGAUUGGUCUGCUAGAGUGCAUCUUGGAGGAGGAUGUUCUGUUGCCAUCUCCUCUGCUCUUUGAUCUGGUAAAGGUGAUAAUAAUAUGUCAGGAGAGGGAAAAAACUCCCUGGAUGGGCGUCUGACUCUCCUUCCCCUUGUUUCACUCAAGCCUUCAAGAAGAGGUUACGUAUUUUUCUGGCUCCUAGUAUGGCUAGUCUCCUGCAUGCACAAGAAACACAAACCCUAGCAGCACUUUUAUAUAAAAAUAAAACAAAAACAAAAACAAAAUAUAUACAAUCAAGUCAAAUUUAAUCAAUUUAAACUAGUAGAUAAGUUAAACCAUGAGUCCUUGGAAACGACGCCAAAAACUUGUUAAGUCCCUGAUGUUGACUCACUGGCAAGUGUACCAGAUCGUGCAAGUAAUAUAAUCGGUAAAGCCCGAUAUCGUUCUUCCGAUGAAACUCGAAAGGUUUUCUCGCUCGUGUGAAUUAAAAUCGUAAGACUUGUAAAAAGAAAUAAUUGUGGUGAAUGUAAAGACAGAAAAUAAACGUGCAAAGUAUUUGAUUCAAUUGACGAAAAGAGAUUAUGGAUGUGAGUUGUUGGGGGUUUACAAUUUCAUCCUAUCCGCUCCCUCUUAUCUACUCCUCUUGUUUAUUGCGCUUUUUUAUCUAAUUUUUAUGCAAACUUUCUUGGCCUACCCUUAACCCGAUCCCUCGGCGAAAAGACCUUAUUACUAAUUACCGGCUUGCUAUCCCUAGCCUCCCCUAACAAUUAAUAAUGCAUUAAGAACAGAAGAAAAAACAAUUGAUCGUCCUACCCCCUAUCCCUAGGCGAGUAUUUCUUAAUCAAGGAAUUUCUCACCAGUUCAUAACAUUAUUGUACAUACCCGUAUCAAUAAAGACAAACAACAGUUACCGAAUGAGUUAAACGAUAAAAGCCUUAUGCGCAGGUGAGAACCCAACAAUUGAUAAUCAAAGCAUAUGAAAAAUCGUAUAAAUAAACAAGAGUUUCAAUAAAACAGAGUUUCAAAAGAUUACAUUGUUUCCCCUAACAACAAAAGGGUUUAGUUCACCAUUGUCAUGGUGAACAUAGAUGAAAAAUGAAGGAAAAAUGGAAAAGCAAACCCUAGAAAGGAUGAAAAAGAGCCUAAAACAUCCAAGAAAUCUUCUCCAAGGAGUGAAAAGUAGGUCUGGUCGCCCUUCUCUGUCAAAAGAAUACAUCUAAACUCGCACUAGGGCUAUUUAUAACCAUGAAAAGUAACAAAAUUCAAGCCCAGGCCCAUCAGAGAACCGCCCGGCGCCAAAAAUGGUCGCCUGACGGUUUGCCUCAAGUUGCAGGACCGCCCGGCACCAAAAACAGCCGCCCGACGCUCCAGUCAACCGUCCGGCGCCCCGGUCAACCGCCUAGCGCUCUGGUCAACUUUUUCUGGUUGUUUGGUUAAUUUUUCUGGUUGUUUGGUUGAUUUUUCUGUUUAACUGGUUGACUUUUAUGCAUUCUGGUUGAUUUUUCUGCACUGCAACCGUUUGAUCUUCAACUUGUCUUUCCAUUCAUCUCCAAUUCUCAUCAAAACCCUCCAAAACAAUGCAAAACAAGCAUAAUAUCUCUAAAAACAACUUUUAACUCUCAACUAACUCAUUUAUUUGGUUUUACUUGACUCUAAGAUCAUUCUAAGUCUUAAAAGGUGUAAUUUGGUCUAAAAUGACAUAUGAAAAUAACUGUUUUUCAACAGUUAUCACAACCCCAAACUUAGAACUUUGCUUGUCCUCAAGCAAACAAAACAAAACAUUAAACAAAACAAAACUUGGCUUUCUACUAUUUCAUCCAAUGGUUCAACAUUGCUAACGUACAUGACAUGAACUACUCAACUUCAAAUCUUCAGUGAAAUCAAAUCAAGAUGCACACAUGCUUCCUAUUCAGUUCAUUUCACAAGUUACUCAGCAAAUGGUACACAUUAUGAAUGGUCAAUCCACAAAGCAAAGAUGCAAUCAUGAAAUUUAGAAAUGCUCACCAGGAAAGUGCUUCACUCAAUCACUCAAGUGUUUAGGGUAACACUCCAACACUCUAUCAUUCACAAGUCACAUGAAACAAAAUUGUCAUUCAUCUAAAACAACCGAAAUCCUUACACGCAAAUGCCAUCAAAAGGACUUUUCCAAGGCUUAUAAUGAGGUUGGGCUAACAAGAAGAAUUGGUUUUUCUUGAAUGCAAAAUCCUUGAGUCAAGAGAGCUAUUAUAGUAUUCAACAAUUUAGCACAAUUCUCUUCCUCACCAAUCUCACUCAUUCCCAACUUUUUUCCCUUUUCUUUUGCAUUGAGCCCAUCUUCAUGCUUUUAUUCUUUUCUUUUCUUUUUAACAUGCAUUUUUCUUUCUCAACAUUUGAGCUCAAUGCUUUACAAUUGCUUUUCAAUUUCCCCCAUGCAACCCCAAACUUGAACCUUUUCAUCGCAUACAAUUAAGCUCAUCCCAACUCAAGGUAAAGAAUUUCAAGACAAGGGUUCACAUCCUGUUUAAGGCUAACGUUAAAAAAGGGUAUAACGUUUUCAAGCACUUUGGGUGAAAAUUUGGCUAGAAAAGGAUUUUAAAAAAUGGCCUUGAUCAUAUGACAUUCACAUGUAAUUCAAUCAAUCAUCCAGAUUAAGGCAAUAUCAUUCAUGCUUUCCAAUGAACAAUACAUACAACAAUGAAAACUCUGGAGCUCAAUACCUCACACAACAUGCUUUCUCACACAAUAUUCAUUCAUACACCCUGCUUUGCAUCAUAACCACAAUCAUANNUCAUCACCCAUCUGUUUCAUAGAAUAUCAACAUGCAAUGCAGCUCAAUUAUCAUCCACAUCAAAUCAUCAUCAAAUAGUCUCAUCAUGAAAUUUAUUCAGUCAAACAUCUUCAGAAAGAGUAUUCAAGCCAAGCAUACACACUGAAAUUAAAAAUAAACCUAUACUAGGAAUUUAAAAGGCGAAAGUAAAAGAGAGAAUCUAGGUUGCCUCCUAGUAGCGCUUGUUUAACGUCACGAGCCUGACCCAAACCUGUUUAGCACUUGUCAGUAAGUGCCAUUCCUUCCAACACCCAUCAGUAGGUGUACCUUCCCGUUAUCCUUCAGUGGAUUCAUAAAAAUUAGCAUCCCUCAGUAGAUGCUACCCAGAAAUUGUUCCAAAAAAUCACAUAAUUACAAGAUUAAAAAUGAAAUAAACCUAAACUAAAAAAAUAAAAUUGAUUUACAACAAUUAGGAUGGCCCCAACAAACACCCAUCAAUAGGUGUUGAAUUUCUUCUUGCUUGGUAUUCUCUUCUUCUUCUUUCUACUAAAUCUCUUCAAAAAGUUGAUCGAACCAAGCACAUGUUUCCAUGCAUCAAUCAUAGGAACUUUAAUCUCCAAUUUCUUGAAGAUCUCCAUGAAGUACUUGAACCUAUUUUCCUUCCUAUCAUUUUUCUUCCGAUGAGGAAAGGGUUUUGCAUAUGAUCUUUUCUUCCUUCCUCUCCUCCUAUUUUCUCAUUCUUCCCCUUCAACUUUCUCUUUUUUUCUCUUUUUAUUUUUUUCUUUAUUUUUGCACAUUUUCUAUCCUUCUUUUUUCUUUCAACCACUUGAAUGGUAAAUCUCCCUGGAUCUUGUAUUUUAGGAGGUAAUGUUCUCUGUAUGACUGCACUGCGAUUUCCUUGUACCUCAAUAGUUUCCUUCUCAAUAUACUUCUUUUCCUUCAUGAGAAACUCUUUUAAAAACUUUGAAUUUGAUGGUAUUUGCUGAGGUGCCUUAGAGAAUGGUAUGGUUAUUUCCAAUUCCUUGAAAAUCUCCAUAAAACGCUCGAACUGCUUUUCUCUCUCCUUUCUAGAAUAUAUCUUUAGAUAGGGCAAGGGUUUUUCAUACUCCUUCUCUUUCAAUUUUACAACCUUUUCUUCUAUCUUUUCCUCAUCAACAACCUUAUCACUUUCAGAGCUAGUGGCUUGACAUUCCUCCCUAAGGUUAACCUCAAUAUUAACCCUAGAAUUCAAUAUCUCAUUGGAGUGACGAAUCUGUAUCUUCAACCUUUUAUUUCUUGCUUUACUCUCUUCUUUAUAUGAUAGAUAAUUUAGGAUAAUAUGUUCCAAUGUCUCGUCAAUUCUGUUGAUUUGCUCUUUCAAAGCAGAUACAUUUUGCCCUAAUAGUAAUUGUUGAUGUGGUUCUCCGGCUUGUCCAUUCCAUCCUUGAUCCAUGCUUGAAUGAGAAGAGAAUAUUGUAUACAUGUCUUGUGGAAAGAAUUCAUCAUUCUUAAUAUUCUCCUCUAUGCCCUUGACAUGGUAUACUUCAAAAUUCAUAAUCCUCUGAAAAAUUUCAACAGAUUCUGCAGUUCUUUGUAUAGGCAUGAAAUGAGGCUCAGCAACUUGUCCAUAUUGACUUUGAUCCAUGUAUGAGUGAGGUUCCCACCAGUGAUUGAAAUUAUUUUGGUAGGAUUGAGUGCCCAUACAAUCAAAUCCUUGUCCGUACUGCAAUCUGCAAACAUUAGGCACAAAACCCUAGAAAACAUUUAUUAGAACAAAAAUAAAAAUAAACAUGAAAAAAAUCAAUUCAAAUUCAAUCAAUUCACACUACUCGAAAAAGUUAAACCUUGAGUCCCUAGCAACGGCGCUAAAAACUUGUUGAGUCACUGGCAAGUGUACCAGAUCUUGCAAGUAAUAUAAUCGGUAAAGCCCGAUAUUGUUCUUCCCAUGAGACUCGAAAGGUUUUCUCGUUCGUGCGAAUUAAAACCGUAAGACUUGUAAAAAGAAAUGAUUGUGGUGUAUGCAAAUACAGAAAAUAAACAUGCAAAGUAUUUGAUUCAAUUUGAUUCAAUAAACAUUACAAUUUCAUACUCCUCUUGUUUAUUGCGCUUUGUUAUCUAAUUGUUAUGCAAACUUUCUUGGCCUACCCUUAACCCGAUCCCUCGGCGAAAAGAGCCUAUUACUAAUUACCAGCUUGCUAUCCCUAGCCUCCCCUAGCAAUUAAUAAUGCAUUAAGAACAGAAGCAAAAACAAUUGAUCGUCCUACCCCCUAUCCCUAGGCGAUUAUUGCUUAAUGAAGGAAUUUCUCACCAGUUCAUGACAUUAGUGUACGUCCCUGUAUCAAUAAAGACAAACAACAGUUACCAAAUGAGUUAAACGAUAAAAGCCAUACGCGCAGGUGAGAACCCAACAAUUGAUAAUCAAAGCAUAUGAAAAAUCAUAUAAAUAAACAAGAGUUUCAAUAAAAGAGAGUUUCAAAAGAUUACAUUGUUUCCCUCAACAACAAAAGGGUUUAGUUCACCAUUGUCAUGGUGAACCUAGAUGAAAAGUGAAGGAAAAAUGGAAAAGCAAACCCUAGAAAGGAUGAAAAGGAGCCUAGGCAUCCAAGAAAUCUUCUCCAAGGAGUGAAAAGUAGGUCUGGUCGCCCUUCUCUGUCAAAAGAAUACAUCUAAACCCGGCGCCCCGGUCAACCGCCCAGCGCUCUAGUCAACUUUUUCUGGUUGACUGGUUGACUUUUCUGGUUGUCUGGUUGACUUUUCUGUUUGGCUGGUUGACUUUUCUGCAUUCUAGUUGACUUUUCUGCACUGCAACCGUUUGAUCUUCAACCUGUCUUUCCAUUCAUCUCCAAUUCUCAUCAAAACUUUUGACUCUCAACUGACUCAUUUAUUGGGUUUUACUUGAUUAUAAUCUAAUUCUAAGUCUUAAAGGGUGUAAUUUGGUCUAAAAUGGCAUAUGAAAAUAACUGUUUUUCAACAGUUAUCACCUGACAAAUAUACCAGAUCGUUAUCAAGUAAUAUAAAACGGGUAAGUCCGAGUAUCGUUUCCCAAAGUGUUGAGAUUGUUGACAACACAAACUCUAUAUCAAACUGGUUUUUGAUGAUGAGAACACACUGCUUAAUAACAAUACAUAUGUUCCAAGUUUACAUGUUCAGUUGAUAUAUGAAAUUGAUUUGGAAAAUGCUUUUGUUGAACAAGAUGUGUUGAUUUGAAAUAUGUGUUCCUAUGAUUGAAUAUGUGUUAUAUAUAUGGAACAUGCUUGUAUUGAAAUGUGUGAUAAAAUGAUUUUGAUUACUUCUGCACAUUUCUGAAGAAAAGCUCACAAGCACUUUUAUGAACUUAUAUUUGUUGUGAGAAAGGUCUGGUUCAGUCGAAUACAGUGGUAAUGGAUUCGACUAAGCUAAAAUCUUUGUACAAAUUUUGAGAACAUGUGCUUGAUGAGACUUUGAGAUGAAAAGAAUUUCAAAGUGAUUUUUCAUGUGACAAUCGACAGUGUGGAACACCCAUUCAACUGUGUUGUUGUUACUUUUGGAAUUUUGUUAUGCCUCCAACGACUAUAUUUUCAAAAGUUAGUUAGGAUUGACUGACUGGGUCAACUGUCAUGAAUGUGCAUUGAUUUGGUUGACUAAGGAGCCUUUGUGUUGACUGUCUGUUAUAACUGUUUUAAUACAGUCGACUGGAUUAGUAGGCAAUUCGAUUGAGAAUGAUAGGAAAACUAUAAAUAGAACAGAACACGAUUUGUUAUGAGACUUUUGUGAUCUAACAUUUUCAUUGUCCUGUUUCAGAGAAAGUUCUCAGUUUAGGAAGUGAUGAGUCGUUAUUUCUUGAACUAUAUUUAGUUUAUUGUACUUAAAUAAACCAGGGAAUUGUGUUUAAUUGUCUGUUAUUUCCCCGUUUUCCGAAUUCUGCUUAAUUUAGUCGGAAUUCGUAAUUGUGCUAAUUUGGAUUUUCUGAGCUGAUUAAGCGCAUUUCUAGUUGCAGGGAAGUUGUGGAAACAUCAUCUGGAGCAUUAGGAUAUGGCGUGACACAUUUAAAGGCUCAACAUUUAGUCAUUUAGAUUCUUAUUAAAGUUGUAAUUUCGUUUUCUAGAAGUCCUUAAUUAGAAUUAGGUGUUUUGGACCCUUUUAGGGGAAAUUUUGUGAAAAAACCCUUGUGUAGGACAUGUGUCUUUUAGGUUAGAGUUCUAAAUUAGUGUGGACCCCACCAUUUUAGAGAGUGGAAGAAAAUUUAGAAUGGCAAGACCGAGACAUAGUCUUGGGUCUCCACUUUUCAUUUUCACUUUGCAUGUAUGAACUCUCUCUGGAGACCAUGUAGGGUUUUACAUUUUUGGAGCUAUGGAAUGACCAAGACCAUAUUUUUCUUCUUCUCUUAACUUAUUCUUGGUUGUCUUAGCUUAUUGGUGGUGAAAAACCAUUCAUUUCUACUUCCAUUUGCUUGUUCUUGAUGCUUGAAGCUUGAGUUUUGGAGCUUGUCUUUGCAUAUCCAUGGUGGAUGUUGGGUUUGAGUAACUUUAUAUUUCGUUUUCCUCUCUCUUUGCUGUUGUUCCUCUCGAUUUUCAUCUCAUUUUAUUUGGUUGGAUGAUAAAAAUGGAGUCCUAUGUGAGUUUUGGGUUGAAGAGAGCUUAAGUUAAUGUGUUGGUGUUUUGAGUUUUGAACCCUUUCUUCUUGCAUUUCGUUUUGAUGUUUGGAAACAUAUUUGGAACUGGACAUUGUGUUUUAUGUUGGGUGCUGGACGGUUCUGCAAAGAAGGAUAUGGAUUCCAUUUUAUUUUAGUCAAAAAUUUGAAUAGAAGAGAGUUAGAACUUGGGUUGAAGGAGGUAACUUUGAGUUUGAUGUGUUUAUAUGAUUUUACAUGUGGAAUCUUGGGUUCUAAUGCUCAUUCUCGGUAUUGAGAAGAGGAAGAAAGAAUAUGAAGGUGUGUGUUGGUGAAGAAAACCGUAGAGUGUGUUGGAAAGGAGGAGAGAAGGUUCAUUUAAUUUUUACCACUUUUGGACCAACAAAAAGGAUGCUUGUUUUGACUCAAUGAAGGUUUCCUUUUUGGUCUUGCCCUUAGCUUGCAAUCUACCAAGAGUAGCACAAGGAAUGGAUGUGUUUGUAGUUUUUUUUCUUUGCUUUGACUUUGUUUACUUGGCACAUUGGCAGUAGUACCAAAGGUUUCUUCCAUUUGCACAUUGGUCUUUGAAGCAACUUUUUGUAGAAGCUCCUUGCUAGCUCACGGCAAUUGCAUCUUGCUUUCUGGAUUUCAUUUUAUUUUUCUGCAUGGGACAAGAGAAUGGACGGUCUUGGAGUGCUUGAAAGGCAUAUGCUUAAUUUCUUGAAAAAUGGUGCACAUGGGAGAAGAAGGUGAAAUUGAAGUUUGACUUGGGUGCAUGGUGACUCAUGACCAUGAGCUUCUAUUUGGCCAAUUGGACUUUUAAAAUUAUUGUUAAUUGCCAUUUAGUCAAGUAAUUUGCUAGGAUUAAAUUAGGCUUGUUGGUUUCUUUGGUUUUUAAUUAAUUUAGUUAAUAGGUUGAGUUUAAUGUGUUUGAAUUAGUGUGAAGUUUAAUUAAUUAUUUUUAACUGUGUUUGUUAAUUUGUUUGCAAGAGUAUUUGAUAUUUGAAUGUUGUCUAAGGUUUUUAAUACUGUUAGUUUAAUCCCCAUGCUAGCUUAAAUUAGUGUUAAAACCUUUCAAAACACCCCCUUCGUGUUAGACUUGAUUCUCGAACCACAAAAUUGGUCUUUGGGAGACGACCUAGGGGCCAUUCCCUAGCUAUACUGCACUUCUCACAUGCAAUCAAAUUUGUAUGGGCCGCGACACCCAUCACGAAGCUCCAAGAAUUCCCCGAGAAGAUGGUUGUGAUCUUUCUUGAGAGAGAUUCGGAUUGAGGAGUUAAUUGCGCACACUAUUUGAUCAACAUCUACACAAAAAAGGUUCUUUUGGUUUGAUCUUGAAGGCUUGGCAUCUGUGAAGAUUGUUGUAUUUGACUGAAGGCUUGGCAACCUGUGAAGUCUGUUGUGAUAGGCUUGGCAACCUGUGAAGCGUGCUAUGAUAGGCUUGGCAUCCUGUUAAGAGCGCUGGUUACAUGUUGAGGAUUGUUCAACGUGGGUUCAGAUUGUAGAAGAGGGGAUUCUUGCUGCAAUUCUAGUUUUGUGUAUGCAGCUAUAUUUGGUUUUGAGUUAGACAGGAGAUUUAUAUUUUUGUGUGGUGCUUCUAUAAAUUCCUUUUUUGUAAAAACUGCAACCAUUAUAGUGCAUUUACUUCUAAGAUUUGAAAGACACUGGAUGUAGGCAUUUUUGGUUGAACCAGUAUAAAAACCAGUGUUUGAUUUUCUCUAUCCCUACACUCUUUAUUUCAGUCGACUUUAUCUGUUUAGGAGUCAACUACAUUUUUCUGCUGCAUUGAAAUUUUUCAUUACUUGCAUUUCAAGGAAAGAUCAAAAGCUUUGAAUUUUCAUACCAAGAUUGCGAAAAGAUUUUGUUUUUGAACUAACACUAAUUCUCCCCCCUCUUGGUGUAAAACGAAGCCAACCUGUUUCUUAACAAUUGGCACUAGAGCUGGUUUUCAUAAAAUAUUUGAAAAUUCAGUCGACUCUGUUUUUAUUCUAUUCAACUGUAAAACCUGGGGAUGGAUUCAAAUUUUCAAACUUUUGGUGCAGGUUCGUCAACAAACAGACCACCUCUGUUUGCUAGUGAAAACUAUCCUUUUUGAAAAUUCGCAUGCAGAUCUUUCUGGAAUCGCAAGAUAAAGGAAUUUAUGAUGCCACUUUAAAUGGUCCAUAUGUGCCUACAAAAACUGUUGGUAGUGAAACUGUUUUGAAACCUUUUACUAAGUGGACUGCUGAUGAAAAUAGAAAAGCUCAGUAUAAUUUUAAAGCUAGAAAUAUUAUUGCCUCUACACUAACAGUUGAUGAAUUUUUUAGGAUAUCCCAAUGCAAGUCUGCAAAGGAAAUGUGGGAUGUUCUAGAGGUAACACAUAAAGGCACGAAUGAAGUCAAGAGAGCCAGUAAGAAUCAUUGAUACAAGAAUAUGAGUUGUUCAGAAUGAAAGCUGGUGAGAACAUCUAUGAUGUCCAGAAACGGUUCACUCAUAUUGUAAACCACCUGAUGGUUACUGAUGGGUUGUCGCACCCCAUACAAAUUUGAUUGCAUAUGAGAAAUGCAGUAUAGCUAGGGAAUGACCCCAAGGUCGACUCCCAAGGACCAACUGCGGUUCAGAAUCAAGUCAAACACGAAGGUGGGGGGGGGGGUUUGUGAAAGGUUUGCGUGGUGAAUGCGGAAAAUUUAAAAUGAAAUUAAAUUAAAACGAAGAUGUAAAAGCGUAAUUAAAUUCAAUUAAAACGAAAUUAAAUGCAACAACACAUUUCACCAUGCAUGAAAAUGAAAUUAAAACGGUAAAAAUGAAACUGCUACCGUAAAUACGAAAAUUCACGUUGGAACUGGACAGCUCUGACCUUUGCUCAAUGUUUUACCCAUAACUUUUUCUACAGAGCUCUAAAUGAGAUGAGGUUUUUUUUCCUGGAAAGUAGACUCAAUUAUAUUUCAUGUGACAUAUAAAACGUAGCAUUUGGACCUUUGGUAUGGUUGCAGUUAUUUUUUUAAAAUCGAGUCCAGAGAGUGAAAAUGCUAAACCAAAUACUAGACUAAACAAAUAUCUAAACACAGUUAAAUUAAAUUAAAUGCAAAACUAAAUUAAAGAAAAUAAAAACAACUAAUCCUACAAUUCAAACUAAUUUAAAUCUAAAGAACUAAACAACAUAUAUUUUUUUCUACCAAUGCAAAUGACACAUGCACCUUCUAAAAAAAUUAAAUUGAAAAUGAAAGUUUCCUAAAAGCUUGGUUCAACUACCGUGCCACACUCCAAGAAAUUGAAUGAAACUAUUCCAUCAAAUUCAUCUACCAAACAUGUACAACUUCUUCCAAAGCAAUGAUCUUCGCCUUUCAAAACUCAAGUCUACCUACCCUACCUACCAUGAUGGGACAAUACCUUUGCUAAAUGAAACAAAAUGGAAAUAAACAUCUUCUCUCCUCAUCUCCGUCUCAUCUUCAGCAAACCAAAUAUAAAUGAAUGAACUUCUUCCAAAAUAACCAUUACACCGUACACUAGUUCCCAUCUUAUCACCUUCUUCUUUUCUCAAAGAAAUAAAAUAAAAGCGUUGCUACCAAACGUCCCAUCCCUACACUCUCACUUAAUCUACUUUUCAUUUAUGAAAGCAAAAUAAAGACUACCACAUCCCCAAAAACCAUCAAGGCUUGUCACCGUGUGGACCCCUUCACUCAAUCACCAUGCAUCAUUUUUAGGAGAAAAGAAAAUUAAAUCUCCCUUCAAACAGAGGAGUCCUGACGUGAAGCACCCUUUCUUCAUUCAAUGCCCUUCAAUCGUGGACAUCACGCUACAAGCCCCUCCAAAAUAGCACUGCAGCAAAGUAAAAGAAAAAGAAUGUGACCCUGCAGCUUCAAAUGUCGAGAGCCUUCUCUGCACCAAAUUACCGAGAUUCAAAUGGUUCAAAAUGAAAAGUUAAUCUACAAAGUGGCGGCUGCAGCAAAAAGGAAAUACACAUUCACCCAAAGCAAGCUUUCUUUCUCAUUUAUCCAAUAUCAAACACGGUCCACAUGGUUACAGCAAAGAAAAAAUUCUAUCCCCUCCAAAAAUCAAUUCUGCCGAGAGAAUGUCAAUGUUAGAAUGACGACUGGUGGGAAUGUUGGAAUCCCUAGGGCCAUGUGUCCUCCUUUUAGGAUGGGUGGGGUCCACCCUAAAAUAAAAGGAAACCCUAGGGUGACAAGUGUUCUACAAUUUGAGCCUAACAUAUUUUUUUAACAAUAGCCCAAUGCAAAAGUUUGUCUAAAAAGUUUAAACAAAUAAAAUUACAAUACAACUAAAUUUAAAAUGUCUAAUUUGAGAGUCUUGAAUUUAUUUGGUCUCCUCCAAAUGUCCCAAAUUGUGUUUCCAAAAUUUUCCCUGAAAAUAAUAAUGCAAAUAAUUAGCUCAGAAAAUUCAAAUUAAUUAAAAUUAGAAUUUCCGGUCAAAUUAAGCACAAUUAGUAAAAACGGGAAAAUACCGGACAAUUAAGCACAAUUCCCUGAUUAGUUCUAGCACAAUAAACUAAGUGAAGUCGAGAAAAUAGCGACUCAUCAGUUACCUUGUUUGGCAAGCUAUGUGAACAUGAGUUAGAACUUGGUAGACUGAAGGAUGAAGAGGAGAUUGAAGAAAAGAAGUCCAUUGCUCUGAAGGCCACAAGUAAUAAUCUCACAGAAGAAGUGAUGGACGACAAAGAGCUGAUGACCUUGAUGGUAAGAAAGUUUAGUCAACAUAUGCAAAAUGAUAGUCAACUGUCUAACCAUGCAGGUCAAAGUAAGAAGAAGAGCUUCAGCACAAACACUGUCCAGUGCUAUGAAUGUGGUAAAGAAGGUCACAUCAAGCAUGACUGUCUUGAAUUACAGCCAAACUAGAAAGGGAAGAAAAGAUUUUAUCAAGGAAGAAAUAUGAGAAAGAAAAGAGCCUACAUUGCUUGGGAAAAUUCAGAUUCUGAAAGCUCAAGUGAUGAUGAUGCUGACCACGAGGAAAAAUCCAACAUAUGUCACAUGGCUGAAACUGCAAAAACUGAGUAUGAUAGUGAUGAAGAAUUUGAGAAGCUGCCUAUAGAAGAUUGUAACAUUUGUUGAGAUUGUUGACAACACAAACUCUAUAUCAAACUGGUUUUUGAUGAUGACAACACACUGCUUAAUAACAGUACAUAUGUUCCAGUGUUACAUGUUAAGUUGAUAUGCAAUACUGAUUUGAACAAUACUUUUAUUGAACAUGUUUUGUUAAUUUGCAUGUAUGUUCCUAUGAUUGAUUAUGUGUUAUAUGUUUGGAACAUGCUUGUAUGAAAUGUGUGUUAAAAUGAUUUUGAUUACUUCUGCACAUUUUUGAAGAAAAGCUCACAAGUACUUUUAUGAAAUUAUAUUUGUUGUGAAAAGGUCUAGUUCAGUCGACUACACUGGUAAUGGAUUCGACUAAGCUAAAAUCUUUGUACAGAUUUUGUGAACAUGUACUUGAUGAGAUUUUGAGUUGAAAAGAAUUUCAAAGUGAUUUUUCAUGAGUCAGUCGAUAGUGUGAAACACUUAUUCGACUGUGUUGUUGUUAAUUUUGGAAUUCUGUUUUUCCUACAUUCUCCAACGGCUAUAUUUUCAAAAGUUAGUUAGGAUUAACUAACUGAGUCAACUGUCAUAAAUGUGCAUUGAUUUUGUUGACUGAGGAGCCUUGUGUUGAUUGUCUAUUAUAACUAUUUUAAUACAGUCAAUUUUAUUAGUAGGCUAUUCAACUGAGACUGACAGGAAAACUAUAAAUAGAACUGAACACGAAUUGUUCAGAAGACUUUUGUGAUCUAACAUUUUCAUUGUCCUAUUUCAGAGAAAGCUCUUAGUUUCAGAAGCUCCAAGAAUUCUCGAAGAAGACGGUGGUGAUCUUUCUUGAGAGAGAUUCAUAUUGAGGAGUCAAUAGCGCUUACUGUUUGAUCAACAUCUGCACAAAGAAGGUGCUUCUGGUUUGAUCUUAAAGGCUUGGCUACCUGUGAAGACUGUUGUAUUUGACUAUAGGCUUGACAACUUGUGAAGGGUGCUGUGAUAGGCUUGGCAACCUGUAAAGUGUGCUUUGAUAGGCUUGGCAACCUGUGAAGUGUGCUGUGAUAGGCUUGGCAUCCUGUGAAAAAUGCUGUGAUAGGCUUGGCAUCCUGUGAAAAAUGCUGGUUACACGUUGAGGAUUGUUCAGCGUGGGUGUAGAUUGUAGAAUAGGGGAUUCUUGGUGCAAUUCUGAUUUUGUGUGUGCAGCUAUAUUUGGUUUUGGGUUAGAGAGGAGAUUUAUAUUUUUUUCGUGGUGCUUCUAUAAAUUCUUUGCUGUAAAAACCGCAACCAUUAUAAUGCAUUUGGUUCCAAGGUUGGAAGGACACUGGAUGUAGGCAUUGUUGGCCGAAUCAGUAUAAAAAUCAGUGUUUGAUUUUCUUUAUCCUUACACUCUUUAAAUUUAGUAGACUAUAUUUGUUUAGCAGUCACCUACGUUUUUCCGCUGCAUUACAUUUUCAAUAACUUGCAUUUCAAGGAAAGAUCAAAAGCUUUGAAUUUUCAUACCAAGAUUGCGAAAAUUUUUGAAAUUUGAACUAACACCAAUUCACCCCCCUCCCUCUUGGUGUAAAACGAAGCCAACCUGUUUCCUAACAACAAUCAGGGAAUUACAUGUUGAAGCAAUGCGACUAGAAUACAAGGUUAAUCGACUAAACUCUAAGAAAAGAGAUUAUGAAUAAAUAAUUGAUAACCUUGUUACUAAGAAUGAAAGACUAGAAAAAGAAUUGAAUUCCUCUAGCAAAAUUAAUAAUAGGCAAGGAAUUGGAUUUAAAGGUUACUCUAACAGAACCAAUGCGAGAAUGCUUAACGUUUUAAGAAAACUUGCUAGAAAUGCAUGUUUUUACUGCAAAUGUGUUGGUUAUACUGUUAGAAAUUUUUAUUAUAGACUGAAUCAAUAUUUUAUACUAUUCACUUAGCUUUUCGCACCAUAUUGUGUUAGUGAAAUGUGUUUAAUUCUCCAUUUUUAUCUCAUUUUCACUAUUUGGGCUGAAUUUCAAGACUAAAUCUUAUCUGGAUUAAUUUAAAUUAUUUGGGCUUAACUAUGUCAAUCAUUUCGUGCAGGACAAUUAUUGUUGGGAGGUUGAGGAAGAGUCCAUUGAAGGUGACUGAACAGUCUGCGGAAGAUGACCAAACGGUCUGCUGAAGAUGACCGAACAAUUUACUGAAGUCUUGACCGAACGUUCUCAGUAGUCUUUGGGCUUACACUUAAUGGUCGAGCAUUUCAAACCGAACGUCUAGUUGAUGACUAAGACCAAAAGGUCUUGGAAGCCCAUACCAAACCGAGAAUCUACACUGAAUGGCCGAGCACCACAUACCGAACGGUCUUGUAAAGAUUGCAUCGCACACCCAUGAACCAACCUCCAGAGCACUAUAAUACGUGUUGGAACAAUCGGUGUCGUUCUGAGAUAGAGUAUGACGCAGCGGAAUAAAACUUGGAGUAAGCGGAAAGCGUGUUCGGUCACAAAAAUAGUUCCUUUAUCAGUUUUAAAUUUCUUGUAAAAGUUUUAUCGAACAGUUGGAGUGCUAAAAGAUUAAGGAGUGUAGGGAAGAGAAAAAUCACACAAAUGAUUUUUAUACUGGUUCAAAUCAAAAGAUUCUAUGUCCAGUUGUUAAUCACUAUAAAAAGUGAUUAACUAUUUUCACUAAAAAUAUAGUUGUACAGAUUACAAGAUAAUGAAAUGAUUAAGGGAUAGAAAACACCUUCCUUCGACAAACGAAUCGGAAGAGUGUAGUGAGUAACUUCAUUCGACAAACGAACUGGAAGUGCUUCCUUUGACACACGAACCGAAAGCAAACACUCUACCAACUCGAAGAGAACCGCUCUGACUUUCGACACACGAAACGCGAGCUUCUCCUAUUCACGAGACCAGGCAAAACACCUUACCAACUCGAAGAGAACCACUCCGACUAUCGACACACGAAACGCGAGCUUCUCCUAUUCACGAGACCANGUAAGGGAACAAAACUAGCCUUAGAGAACUUCCUCAGACAAACUGUAUUUUGCUAAAGACCUAAGUUCAAAUGUUACUUCUGAACUUCACAGAAACACAAUAUAUAGGCAGUUGCUUUCAAUAUCAAAGGUCAAGUCCCAACUGCCACAAAUAAUCGAUUAUUGUAAGUGAUAAUCGAUUAUUGAAGUCCGUUAUAGGUUUUUCAAAAAGUGAUAAUCGAUUAUAUGAGGUGAUAAUCGAUUAUUCCUGAAUGACUUGUGAUAAUCGAUUAUUGCUUCUUGAUAAUCAACUAUUGUAGUUUAAAAUGUAAGUUUUACAAAGUUUAUAGGACUUUCCUACUACAUUUAAUCUCAACAAAUUGCUUUUAAAUAAUUUUAGACUCUUCUUCAACUAAGUCUUCUUGCAGCAUCAUCAAAACAAUUGUCUUCAAGAUUUACCAAUACUCCCUAUUGGUAACAAUACGGAACGGUCUUGGUAGUUGCAUGUGAGUCUUGACAGAACGCUCUGACAAAGUGUGCUAGACCGAGCGGUCUGUUGAAGCCUACACUGAAGGCCUAUCAAUGACCGAGCACUACACUACCGAACGGUCUGAUGAAGACUGCACUAAGCACCAAUGAACCAACCUCUAGAGUAGUGUUUCACCGAACGACAAUCUAGUAUUGACCGAACGGUUAGCUGAGGUAACCAGAGAAACUCAGCAACAGUGUUGGAAACACAUCCUGGGACUUCAAGAGGGUGGCCACAACAAUAGUGUAGCUCAAUUUCGUUUUAGAAGGGCAUUGGGUCAUAGUUUAGGACUUUGGGCCAUUGUUGGCAAAAAUAUGAGGGCCCAAAAUUGUACGAAGACACAUGGAACCACCUAGGGUUUUAUUUUUUUAGGGUGGACCCCACCCCUAUUUUUAAGACACAUGGUCCUAGGGAUCUAAAAAUGCUGGCAGCCGUCACACUUAGAGGACAUUCUUGGCAGACCAAUUUUGGAGUGCUGCAACGUUUUCUUUAGGGAGUUGAUUUUCUCUUUGAAGCAUGUUACACUUUGAUUUUGGUUGAAUGGAAAUUGAAGCUACCAGCUGCCACUCUCGGAUUCACCUUUCUUUUAGAGCUUUGAACAAUUUGUUUUCUUUGGAUAGCUUUUGAAAAGGGUUGAAACAGUGCUAGGUUUGGUUUCCAGCCGCCACUCUCAUGCUUUUGAGUUCUUUUCUUAUAAAAACGUAUUUUUUAUUAUUGAAUAAAAAAGAAGAAAGCGGUUGAGUGUUACGCUGUUCCAUGUGAUUGUAGGAGUCAUUAGGAGGUGUCAUGGCUUGAUGAAAGAGUGACUCAUUUGGCUGCAAGUGAUAUGCUUGUUUCAUUCUACAAGUUUUAUGCUUUUAAAUUGGAGAAAUGUGCAGCGUGUGUUACGGCCUGCCUGGGGCAUUUUAUUUCCAUUUGAAAAGUUCAAUUUCUUUGCUUUGAACGUUAGGUGUCAUGCGGAGAAGCACUUUAGUUCCUUUAUUUUUUUAGUGUCUUUUAUUUGCAUUAUUAUCAUGAUGAAUUACUUUUAGUGUCUAGCUUACUUGUUACAUUUUAAUAGCUUUAAUUAUGUUUGGAUAUUUCUCUAUUGCAGUGUUAGGUUUAGCAUAGUCUUUUACCUUAACGUUGUCUAGUAGUUUUGGUAGUGUUAAUUUAAUUGUCAUGUUAGAUUAGGUUAGUUGGUUGGUCAUUAAUAAAAUUACUUUCUUUCAUGAGAUUCUUGCACUUUAGUUGCCAUACUGUUGCUCUUAUUCUGCUCAAUAUUUAGUUUGUCAUAUGCUUGCGAUUAGGUAUACACUUAGUUGCCUCCUCGGUGUUUAAUCUUCGCUUAGUUGAUUAGACUGUAUGGUGCAUGACUGAUUAGAUUUGAGCAUUGCAUUCUCUUAGUUUGUAAUUUUUAAGACCGAAUUAGCCUUCGCUUAGCUGGGUGAUUCGUGUCGGAUUUGGGUUAGAGUAGUGUGUCUUUGUCGUUAAUCUGUGAUUGGAAGCAUAGUAAUUGAGUUAAUGUGAUGGGUGUCGCACCUCAUGCAAAUUUAAUGUGCUUAAAGAAUGCAGUAUAGCUAGGGAAUGACCCCUAGGUCGUCUCCCAAAGACCAACUUUGCGGUUCAAGAUUCGAGUCAAACACGAAGUGGGGGGUUUGUGAAAGGGUUUUGGAAUGCAAAUGAAUCAAAUUGAAAACAACAUAUGCAAAUAAAGAUGUAAACACAGAUCUAAAGAAAACGGUUUCAACACAAAAUGAAAACGGUUGGUCAUUAACUUAAUUACAAUGUUUCCCAUCACAGAUUAUCUAAUUAAAGUUGAUACUCAGACCUCUAAUCCAACAGAGUUUACUGACUAAGCGAAGAUUAAUUCUGUCUUCAUAAACGCGAAUUAAGCGAAUGCGUUGUUAAUAUCAAAUCUGAUUUACACCAUACAGUUCCAUCAACUAAGCGAAGAUGUCACAACAACUGGGCAACUAAGCAUAUACCCAAUUGCAGGGGCAAAUACAGAAUUAAUAUUAACCAAGUUAGAGUUGCCACACAGAGUAAUCUAUGAUGGGAAACAUAGCAAUAUAGCUAAUGACCAAUUAGAGUAAUUUAAGCUAGCAUGGUAAUUAAAUUAUCUCUACCACAAAUACAAGACAACAUUAAGACAAAAUAAAAUAAAAUACUAGACACCAACACAGUUAAAUAAAUUUAAAGUAACUAAUAAAAAGAAAUAAGAAAACACAGCUUUUUCCUAGCACUUCAUGUGACCAAGUGUGCCCCAAAUAAAGAAAUUGAAAAUGAAAAUGGCCUAAGAAGACCUCUUUUACGUAAGUCACUCCACCACCUUCCAAUUUGACUUUCUUCCUUCAAUAAANAAUUCAUAUGUUGCCUUCUUUUGUCCCAUGUGCUUCAUUCUCAAGAAAUUAAACAUGUGCAUUCCAAAAACAAUAAAAUCGUCCUCUCUCUUCAACCAUGCAGCCAAGAAUAAAAUGAAACCACAUACCAAGACACAAUUUACGUGAGCUAUGCAAAGAGUUUCUACAAAAGUUGCUUCAAAGACCAAUGUGUAAAUGGAAGAUACUUUGAAUGCUUCACCCAAGGUGACAUGUAAGCAAAGUAAAAGCAAAGAAAACAACCUCAAAACAUGCCCUUCUUCAUGGAAAUUCAUGGCAGCAACAAUGCAAGGAAAAGACAAAGUUCAAAAGUGGAAACAUUCCUAGAGUGAAAGUGAGCAUCUUUUGUGCUUGUCCAAAUCGGGUAAAAACUUUAAUGCACCUUCUAUACUCCUUUCACCUCCAUUUUCGUUUUUCUUUCUCUACCAACACACCAUUCAUGUUUUCUUCCUCCAUACUACAGAAACUUAAACCCAAGAGACCAAAGUUCAAAUUCCAAAUCAACACAAGAACAAUAAACUCAACAUAUGCUACUUCAAUUUAGGUGAUUAGCUAAGUGAUUAAGUGAUUAGGUAGAAAAGUGUGUGGUGUUACCGAGGAGCAGCAUAACUCACGGUUUUUCUGCUGAAUGAAAUUGGUUGUGGGUCCGGUGAUGGGAUUUCUUUUUGGGUUUUAUUUUACUUUGAAUGAUGAAAAGUAGAUUAGGUGAAUGUAUGGUGGUGGCACAUGAAAGCCCUGCAGCUGGUUGCUUGGCAUUGCAUUUCUUUUCUUUUACAAGGAAGUAGCUAGAUGAUUAGAUAAAUGAAAUUGUGAUGUGACGGUAGAUGAAGAAUUUUUGUGGGCACACUUUCAUUUCUUCAACAUGUCACGGCUGCACUCAAUUUAAUUUGCUAGAAUAAUGCUUUCUUUUUGCUAGAAGUGUGGGUUUCAAUUUAAAAAGUGUGUGCGUCAGGAGAGUUACUUAGUUAUUUUGUGGUUUAAUACUUUGCUUCCUUGGGGAAUGGAUUCAGCAUGCAUUUAUUUUUCUAGAGUGAAGAAAGCAUAUAUGGCAUAGGUGCUGUAUGGAUAUUUUACCUUUCUUAAGCCAUUUUGCAAAUUUAAUUUCAUUUGGUAGAUGCCAUAGGUUAAUUGCUAAAGGUAACUUGUGUUGUUUAUUUCUUUUGCUUUAAUUUAAUUUCUUAAAUUUUGUUGAGUUGGGUUUUAUGUUGUUUCUAAUUUAGUGAUGCAUAUUAACAAUUUUAAUUGUUCUAGAUAUUUGUGUUACAGUGUUAGGCGUUUAAUAUUUUCUUUCAUUUUAAUGAUUCUGUGUUUUAAUUUAAUUCAUCUGCAUUCACAAUCCUUUCACAAACCCCCCCCCACUGUGUUAGACCUAAGUCUCGAACCGCAGUUGGUCCUUGAGAGACGACCUAGGAGUCACUUCCUAGUACUAUACUGCAUUCUUUUAUGCUCAUUAAAUUUUGGAGCUUUGGAAUUAUUUUGGCAAUAAGUGUGGUCUCUUGGGAAAUUCUGACGAGUUGGCUAGUUGGUUCCUCUUCUUGCUUUUGUUUUGUAAAUAUGUGUAUCUUGUCUCUUACCGUUGUGUUCUAGAUAGAGAGAAAAGAAAAGAGACAAGAUGAAAAAAAAAAGAAAAAAAAAUACAGAAAAAUGAGAAAAAAAUAAAAAAAUUGUUGUGAAUAAAGGAGUCAAGAAGAGGAUUGAAUUAAAGGGUUUUGGGUGUGAUUCGAUUGUGUUUCACUUGCUCCCCAUUGCUCCUCUAUUCCUUUUGGUUUGUAACUUCUCAUCCAUAUUAUAGAUUGAUUCUGUUAUUAAUGAUUAUUCUGAUUAUGAGUAUGGUGAUGCUUUAUUGUUGAUGAACAUGUUUUUAAUUCUCCUUCUUUGCAUGAUGAGAACCACUUUUUGCUAUCACAUAUGAAUGUUUGUUCUCCAUGCACUGAACAUGAAUCUGAUUUUGUUGUUGAUACUGCUUCUAAAUUUGAACUUAAUUAAUGUUCUGAGGGUAUAUAUGAGGGUCAGCUUGUUACAUUGAGAUUGGGUGUUAUACCUCUGCAUGUUAUUUUUGUAGAACCACAUUGCACUAACCCUAUUGCAGGAGGUACACAUGAGUUCGAUAAACAAACACCCACGGUGGAAGACAAGGGUGUCAGUGUGCACAAAAGCUUGAAUAUCAAGGGGCAUCAGCUAAACCCACUCAUCAAUAAUCACUGCUUCUUGGAUCCAGCUGUGGAGGACAUCUCCCUACUUGAUCAAAUUUGGAGACUGAAGCAGUUCUUUCUCAAGACUUCCUUGCUGAAUCGAAUGGUGGAAGAGAUCUCCGGGAAAGUCCAAAAUUGGCAAUUGCCACCAUGAUUAGGGGAGUUUUUCUUUUCUCCUUCCCUCCUUACUUUUAUUGCACUUUGUCUAUAUUUGAUGACUGCUCUAAUUGUUGAUCUGCUGAUUGUGACACACUGAGGACAUUGUGUUGUUUAAGUGUGGUCUAUUAGGGGAGGUUGUUUCUUUGUUUAUAUUUCGGCUUUUAUGUAGUUUGUUGUGUCUUGUGUACAAUUUUGCAUGCUUUUUGUGAAUUCUGGACUUUGAUUAGGUUGUCAGUUUUCACUUCACUUCAUUGAUACUCUGAUUUGUUGGAUUCCUUGUUUUUCUUUGCGUGGAAGAUGAUCAUGAUGUUUGAGAGGUUGAAUUGAUUGUGACAGAAUUACCUUGUGCGAGAUUUGAGCUAUUUGAUGAUCUUUCUUGUGAGUGUUAUGUCUCUUGAUUGCUUGCACAUAUGCCUUGGCUUGACUCUUUUUGAUGAUUCUUGAGUGAUAUGCAUGUUUGGAAGUGAUAAGGGAAAUUUUGUUGUUGAGCCUCUCUAGCCAAAUGAGCCUACCUUGUUGUGAUCCUUUGAUAGCCCNUUUGAGCCUUUACUUUCCCCAUUUCUUUUUUUUGAAGCUCAUACACUAGCCCUAAGUGAAAAACCAUGAUUACCUUAACCUUAGGGAAUUUUGGAGCUUUGGAAUUGUUUUGGGAAUAAGUGUGGUAUCCUGGGAGUUUUAGAUGAAUUGGCUAGUGAGCCCUCUUCUUGUCAUGUUUUUGUAAAUACAUGGUGUAUCUUGUCUCUUAGAGUUAUGUCCAAUAUUGAGACAAGAUGGAAAAAAAAAACAGAGAGAAAAAAAAAUACUGAAAAAUGAGAAAACAAAUGCUUGAAUAAUGAAGUCAAGAAGAGGAUUGAAUUAGAGGGUUUUGGGUGUGAUUUGAUUGUGUUUCACUUAGUCCCCAUUGCUCCUCUAUUUCCUUUUCUUUGUAACUUCUCAUCCAUAUUAUAUCCUCCAUCUUCCUUGACCCCAUUGCAUCCAUAAAAGACCUUUUGAUUUGAACAUGCAUAUAUGUUUUGAGUGUUGAUAUUAGAGGCUUGCCAAGUCUGUUUGUGUUUGCUUUCUUGAGUGAAUUGAGUGACAUUGAUUUACCUUAAACACUUGAGAGAAACACUGAUUGUGUGCAUCUGUGAGGCUCUAUUGCUUUUGAUUCAUCUCUUGAACCGAUUGACUGUUUUCCAUGUACUGAACUGUUUGGAUGAUUCUGUGGGUAUCUGCUUUCAUUGAUUCUGUGUGGGAUACUGCCUAUGCCUUUCACUGUCCAGAUUUUGUGAGAAUUGUGCAACUCUGUUUCUGUUUUGUGAGUCCUUGUUGUCUGUCUGUCGAGUCUGUGUCACCUCCCUGAUGUUUGAGUAGUUCCCUGGUUUUCGUCUUGGUUUUGCCCAGGAGUGCAAAAGACUAAGUGUGGUCUAUUUUGAUGAUUCGUUAUUUCUUGAACUAUAUUUAGUUUAUUGCACUUAAAUAAACCAGGGAAUUGUGUCUAAUUGUUUGUUAUUUCCCUAUUUUCUGAAUUCUGCUUAAUUUGGUUGGAAAUUCGUAAUUGUGUUAAUUUGGAUUUUCUGAGCUGAUUUAGUGCAUUUCUGGUUGCAGGGAAGUUGUGGAAACAUCAUCUGGAACAUUGGGACAUGACGUGAAACAUUCAAAGGCUCAACAUUCAUUCAUUUAGAUUCUAAUUAAAGUUGUAAUUUCGUUUUCUAGAUGUCCUUAAUUAGAAUUAGGUGUUUUGGACCAAUUUAGGGGCAAUUUUGUAAAAAACCCUUCUGUAGGACAUGUGCCUUUUAGGUUAGGGUUUUAAAAUUGAUUGUGGACCCCAUUUGGAAGGCAACUCUCGGUAUUUGGAGAGCCUUGGCCGACCACACACUCUUAGGCUCAUUUUACACACUUCAUACUUCAUGUUUUGAAUUUUUCUCUUCUAGGGUUUCAUGUAUGAACAUGCCUUAAGGGAGCUUGCUUGGUAUUUUCGGUUUGGAGCCAAUUCAAUGAACAAGAUCCAGAUUUUCUUUGUCUCUUAACUCACUCUUGGUUAUCUUAGCUCAUUGAUGGUGAAAAAGCAUUCAUUUCUACUUCCAUUUGCUUGUUUUUGAUGCUUCAAGCUUGAGUUUUAGAGCUUGUCUUUGAAUUUCCAUGGUGGAUGUUGGGUUUGAGUAACUUUAUAUUUCGUUUUCCUCUAACUUUCUCAAAGAAAAUAAAACACAUUCCAGCCCCCUAAAACUCCUAACGUUGCAGCCCUUGCAUAGUUCUCGGAGACAUUAAAAAAAAAUAAAAGAUAAAUGCAGAGUAAGUGGCCGCUGCAGCUAUGCAUUCAACCCAUUUUCUAUUCAUCCAAUAUCAAAAUUCUAAGACAUUGUUGCAAAGAAGAAAAAAGAAAAGACACGUUCCAGCCACCAAAUUCCCGCUGCAGCCGAGAAGCACCCUCCAAAAACAUUCAAAGAAAAAUCCAAGAUGUGUGUUACGGUUCAAGCGCCAAAGCACAGCAAAGGAAGUGCACCGUGAUUGCAACAACUUUAUUCAAUAUUAAACCCAAAGAAAAUCUACAGCCCUUGAAAAUAAUAAAAAUAGGAAGGUUUGCUUUCAUUCAUCCAUAAUCAUAAAUUGCAAACAUGAUUCAAUCAAGAGCUCAUAGAAAAACAACGUUCCCCAGCUCACUAAAAAUGUUCCAUCCCCUUCUUCCAAGCAUAAUACAUUCUAAGAAGUGAGUAAAUGCACCGUGCCCUACUAGCUAAAAUUCAUGUCCGCGUGUGAUAUGGGCGGUUGCAUGAUGCACUCUUACUAGAUGCCACUUUGCAUAGCCAUUAAAUAAGCCCUCUCUUUUCUCCAAGUAAAUAAAUUACCACCUGCACCUCCAAAUAUAAGACUCACACCUCCAUUCUCAUAAGCCCAAAAGGGUAAAAUCCCCAUACUACCCUUCUACUUGUGAACACUUCUUUUGUAGAGAGUCUUGAAUUAUUUGAUAGCACUCCAAAUGUCCCAAAUUGUAUUUCCAAAAUUCUCCCUAAAAUAAUAAUGCAAAUAAUUAGCUCAGAAACUUCAAAUUAACUAAAAUAAGAAUUUCCGAUCAAAUUAAGCAUAAUUUGGAAAACCGGGAAAAUACCGGACAAUUAAGCACAAUUCCCUGAUUAAAUUCGGUACAAUAAGCUAAGUGAAAUCAAUAAAAUAUUGACUAAUCAAUUAGCUUGAUUAAUUAAUUGUCAUGCAACUUUCUUAGCCUACCCUUAACCCGAUCCCUCGGUGAAAACAACCUAUUACUAAUUACUAGCUUGUUAUCCCUAGCCUCCCCUAGCAAUUAAUAAAGCAUUAUAGAGCAUAAGUUAAAAAAAAUUGAUCGUCCUACCCCUAUCCCUAGGUGGUAUUACUUAAUCAAGGAAUUACUCACCAGUUCAUGACAUUAGUGUACGUCCCCGUAUCAAUAAAGACAAACAACAGUUAUCGAAUGAGUUAAACGAUAAAAGCAUUAAGUAUAGAUGAGAACCCAACAAUUAACAAUCAAAGCAUAUUGAAACCAUAUAAAUAAACAAGAGUUUCAAUAAAAGAGAGCAUCAAAAGAUUACAUUGUUUCCCCCAACAACAAUAGGGUUUAGUUCACCAUUUUUAUGGUGAAACUAGAUGAAAAAUGGAUGAAGAAUGGAAAAGCAAACCCUAGAAAAGAUGAAAAGGAGCCUAAGCAUCCAAGAGAUCCUCUCCAGAGAGUGAAAUUAGGUCUGGCCGCCCCCUUCUAUCAAAAGAAUGCAUCUAAACUCGUAAUAAGGCUAUUUAUAGGUGAGCAGCGCAAGAGAAAACUGGCCUAAGCCCAACAGACAACCGCCCGGCGGAACAAGUGUGGCGCCCGGCGGUUUCCCUCAAAUCGCACCACCGCCCGUCAGUAGGGGUCUACCGCCUGGCGGUUUGCCUCUAAUCGCAAAUCCGCCUAGCGCCCACGCCAGGUGCCUACUCCUCGCCCUGGACCGCCUAGCGGUGUAAUUUGCCGCCGGGUGGUGCGUCGACUCUUCAAUUCUUCAAUUUUGUUCUCUUUUCUUGAGUGUACGACCUUUAUCUUCAACUUCAUUCUUCACUUUCUCAAAAUCGAUACAAAACAAUGCAAAACAAGCAUAAUACCGCUAAAAAUAACUUUUGACUCUCUACAGACUCAUUUAUUGAGUUUUGCUUGAUACUAAGCUCAUUCUAAGUAGUAAAGGGCGUAAUUUGGUCUAAAAUGACAUAUGAAAAUAACUGUUUUUCAACCUUCAUCAACAACCCAAACUUAGAACUUUGCUUGUCCUCAAGCAAACAAAACAAAACAAAACAAAACUUGGCUUUUUACUAUUUCCUCCAAUAAUUCAACACUCCUAAAGUACAUGGCAAACACUACUCAAUCUCAAAUCUUCAGUGAAAUCAAAUUAAGAUGCAUGCAUGCUUUCAGUCCAGAGAUUGCACAACAGAUGCUACACAUUAUGAAUGACCAAUCCACUAAGCAAGAAUGCACUCAUGAAAAUUAACAAUUCAUACCAAGCAAGUGUUUCACUCAAUCACUCAAGUGUUUAGGGUGACACUCCAACUCUCUAUCAUUCACAAGUCACAAGAAAUAAAAUUGCCAUUCAUCUCAAACAAUCAAUAUCUUUAUAUGCAAAUGCCAUCAAAAGGACAUAUCCAAGGCUUGUAAUGAGGGUAGGCUAACAAGAAUAAUUGGUUUUUCUGAAAUACAAAGUCCUUGAGUUAAGAAAGCUACCAUGAUAUUCAAAAUGUAAGCACAACUCUCUUCUUCACCAAUCCCACUUAUAAUCAACUUCUUCCCUUUUCAUUUAGCUCACUUUCAUGAUUUUCUUCUUUUCUUUUCUUUUUAUCAUGCAUUUUUCUUUCUCAACAUUUGAGCUCAAUGCUUUACAAUUGCUUUUAAAUUUUCCCCCAUACAACCCCAAACUUGAACCUUUUCAUCACAUACAAUUAAGCUCAUCCCAACUCAAGGUAAAGAAGUUCAAGACAAGGGUUCACAUCUUGUUUAAGGCUAAGGUUCAAAAAGGGUAUAAUAUUUUCAAGCACUUUGGGUGAAAAUUUGGCUAGAGAAGGGUUCUAAAAAAUGGCCUUGAUCAUAUAACAUUCACAUGUAAUUCAAUCAAUCAUCAAGAUUAAGGCAAUAUCAUCCAUGUUUUCCUGUGAACAUUGCAUACAUCAAUAAAAACUCAGGAGCUCAAUACCUCACAUAACAUGCUUUCUCACACAAAAUUCAUUCAUACACCCUGCCUAGCAUCAUAACCACAAUCAUAAUUUAUCACACAUCUAUUUCACUGGAUAUUCACACACAACACAACUCAAUUAUCAUCCACAUCAAAUAGUUCCAUCAUGCACAUCAGUCAGUCAAACAUUUUCAGAAAAAGUAUUUAAGUCAAGGAUACACACUGAAAUUAACAUUCAACAUAUUCUAGAAAUUUAAAAAGUAAAAGUAAAAGAGAGAAAACUAGGUUGCCUCCUAGUAGCGCUUGUUUAACGUCACGAGCUUGACCCAAACCUCAUGGAUCUACCAACAUCAUGACUGAGGCAAAUUGCUCCACAUCUCCUCCCACAUAGUGUUUGAGCCUUUGCCAUUCACGAUCCAGCUCUGUCGCUGAUUAUCAUCAGUCGACGAUUCUAAUUCCACUGCUCCACUUUGGAAACGUUUCACCACAAAAGGUCCUGACCAUUUUGAUUUCAGUUUCCCGGGGAAUAACUUUAGCCGCGAAUUGAAUAAAAGAACCAAAUCCCCUGGAUGGAAAGUUCUCUUAAUCAACUUCUUGUCAUGAUAGAACUUCACCUUAUCUUUGUAAGUCGUGGAUGAUUCGUAAGCAUGCAACCACAUUUCUUCAAGUUCUAGCAGCUGGUUGCCUCAUUUCCCUUGAGCCUUAUCAAGGUCAAAGUUCAAAAGUUUCAAAGCCCACCAAGCUUUGUGUUCCAUUUCAACUACCAAAUGACAUGCUUUUCCAUAGACUAACUGAAAAGGCGAUAACCCCAUAGAAGUUUUCAUGGCAAUUCUAUAUGCCCAGAGAGCAUCGUCUAACUUCUGUGACCAAUCUUUUCUUGAAAAAGUGACAGUCUUUUCUAAAAUUCUUUUGAUUUCCCUGUUAGAAACUUCAGCUUGGCCAUUUGUCUGCGGAUGAUAAGGCGCAGCUACCUUAUGUUUCACCCCAUAAUGCUUAAGUACCUUAGCUAGCUGAGCAUUGCAAAAGUGAGAUCCUCCAUCACUGAUGAGGAUCCUGGGAGUUCCAAAACGUGAAAAGAUUUGUCUUUUUAAGAAUUUGAUCACGGUGUUAGAAUCAUUCUUAGGACAUGCUACAGCUUCAACCCACUUACUCACGUAAUCAACAACUACCAAAAUAUAUUCAUUAUUGAACGACGGAGGAAAUGGUCCCAUAAAGUCAAUACCCCAGCAAUAAAAAACUUCAACUUCCAAAAUGCCCUGUAGUGGCAUCUCAUGCCUCCUUGAGAUGGUCCCUGUCCUCUGAGAUUUGUCGCAGCUUCGAGCAUGAUUAUGAGCAUCUUUAAAUAAAAUCCUGCUUGUAAAAUUUUUGCCAUAGUGCGUUCUCCAUUAUAAUGACCUGCAUAAGGAGAAUUGUGACAAUGCCACAAAAUAUCUUCUGCUUCUGCUUCAGUGGCACAUCUUCUCAACAGAUUAUAUGCUCCUAUCUUGAACAAAUAUGGAUCAUCCCAAAUGAAUUGUUUGGCAUCAUGUAAAAACUUCUUUUUCUGUUGCCAAUUGAAUCCUUCCGGAAUAACACCUGCGGCUUUGAAGUUGGCUAAAUCAGCAAAGCAAGGUCUUUGCUGAAUAUACAAAAGAGCUUCAUCUGAAAAUGAUUCCCAGAUUUCUUUCUCCUUGCUUGUCACUUCCUCAUUGACUAACCGGGAUAUAUGAUCAGCAAUCACAUUUUCACUCCCCUUUUUGUCACGAAUUUCUACGUCAAAUUCUUGUAGCAAUAGUACCCAUAUAAUCAAUCUUGGCUUUGAAUCAGGUUUCGUCAGUAAAUACUUUAUAGCUACAUGAUCUGUAUAAAUGAUUACCUUAGAUCCAACGAGAUAUGAUCUAAAUUUCUCCAAUGAGUACACUAUGGCCAAGAAUUCCUUUUCUGUGGUGGCAUAAUUUAGUUGAGCCUCAUUCAGCACUUUGCUAGCAUAAUAAAUAGCAUGAAAAAACUUUCCUCUUCUCUGUCCCAGCACAACACCUAUAGCAUAGUCGCUAGCAUCGCACAUCAGUUCAAACUCUUUAUCCCAAUCAGGCGCCACAGGUGUUUUAAGAGGUUACUCCUUCCCUCUACUAUCUACAUGUCACAUAGAACAAAAUUGCCUUUCAUUUGCCACAAUCAAACAUCAUCACAUACACAUGUAAUCACAAAGACUUUUCAAGGCUUAUAAUGUGGUUGGGCUAACAAGGAAAAUUGGUUUUUCUAGAUCACAAAACCCUUGAGUUAAGAGAGUUAUUAUACAUUCAUAGUCCAAGCACAAACUCUAUUUUUACCAAUCUCACUCAUUCCCAACUUUCCCUUUUCUUCCCAUUGAGCUUUUCUUUUCAUGGUUUGCUUUUUCUAUCUUUUCCAUCUUUUCUUAUGCAUUUUUGAUGAGUCGAUAUUUUAUUAACUGCACUUAGUUUAUUGUACCGGAUUUAAUCAAGGAAUUGUGUUUAAUUGUCCAGUAUUUUCCCGUUUUUCCUAAUUAUGCUUAAUUUGACCGGAAAUUCUAAUUUUAAUUAAUUUGAAUUUUCUGAGCUAAUUAUUUGCAUUAUUAUUUGCAGGGAAAGUUUUGGAGAUACAAUUUGAAGCAUUGGGAAGGAGACAAAAUAAAUUCAAGACUCUCAUAUUAGACAUUUUAAAUUUUAGUUAUCUUGUAAUUUAAUUGUUUAAACUUUUUAGACAAACUUUUGCACAUUGGCCCAUUGUUGGCAAAAAUAUGAGAGCCCAAAAUUGUAGGACACUUGGCAACCUAGGGUUUUAUUUUUUUAGGGUGGACCCCACCCCAAUUUUAGGACACAUGAUCCUAGGAAGAUACCAAGCUGCAGCCGUCAUUCAUUUGGAAGAUUCACUCAUUCUCUCGGCUGGAGAUUUUUGGAGCUUUUAAAGUUUUUCUCAUGGAGCUUUUCUUUGAAGCCUUGGAUUUUAAAAAUGAAAGGGUGCAUAUACUGCUGAAUUUUUUUUAUUUUUUUUUAUUGUUGAGUGCUCUUUGAAUUUUUGCUGCAGCUGCCGUCAUUUAUGUUUUAGGAAUUUUGGGUCUGGAAAGUUUUUCUUUAAAAGACAAUGUGACUCACGGUUUUCCAAGGAUUUUUAAUUCCUUUCUUUGCUUUGCUUUGUCCAACAAAUGUCGUAACAUCAUCUUGCAUAAUGGGAGCUAAAAAGGAUUUAGUUUUAAUGCAUUUCUUUUUUUUUAUUUAACAAGCACUCGGUGAUUAUCUUUUGGAAGAAGUUAGAAAUUAGUUUUGUUUUCUUUGAAUUGGAAGCACACAGCUGAAAUUUCCAAAUUGCUUAUAUGUUCACGGCUGCAGCAUUAUAAAGAGGAAAGCUCGUUAUUUAUCUUGAUUCUUUUUUCCUUGGAGAAAGUUGCGACAUGUUUAUCAUUUUUAGAUAAAAAGAAACGCUACUUUCACUUUGCGCUGAUUGAUGGAGACUUUUUUUUUGGCUUAAACAUUGUCCAGACAUUUCUUUAACUACUAAAUUUUCAUUCUUGCUUUUUUUUUAUGCAAUUUGCAAUUUUGGUGCGCUGCUUUCAAUUCUCAUUGCAUGCUUUUAAUUUGGUUCAUUCUCGUUGCUUUCAAUUCUCACCUUUUACUUGAUGGCGUACUGUGACAUGCUAGAAAGAAGAUGCGUUGAUCUCUGCAGCUGCCACACAGGAUUUCAUCUUAAUUUCUUUAAAUUGGAAAAGAGCACAUGGUCACCGCGGUGAAGUAUUUCAAUUUUGGGUUUCGAUUAAAAAAAAGAGAAGUGUGGUGUCACGGUUUGACACUUGAACAGGUGGAGAAUUAAUUUUGCAAUUUCCAAGCUUUAUUCUAAUGUGAAUUUAAUUGGUUAGCUCAAUAUUGCAUUUUUAAUCGCUUUAAUUGUGUUUAGAUAUUUAUCUAUUGCAUUGUUCGGUUUAAUGCUUUUAUUCAUUUUAAUUUUGUCUAGUAUUUGUUGUAGUGAUAAUUUAGCUGUCAUGUUAGCUUAGGUUAGUCGGGUUGAUCAUUGAUAAAAUUGCCUUGUUUCCUUGAGAUCUUUACACUUUAAUUGUCACACUGCUGCUCUGAAUUGGCUCAAUAUUUAUUCUGUUGUGUGCCUGCGAUUAGGUAUACGCUUAGUCGGUGUUUAAUCUUUACUUAGUUGAUUAGACUGUAUGGUGCUUAACUGAUUAAAUUUGUGCAUUGCAUUCGCUUAGUCUGCAAUUUUGAAGACCGAAUUAGCCUUCGCUUAGUUGGCUCAUUCGUGUCGGAUUUGGAUUAGAGUAGUGUGUAUUUGUCGUUGAUCUGGGAUAGGAAACAUUGUAAUUAAGUUAGUGACCGACUGUAUUUAUUCUGUCUUUGAAACCGUUUUUAAAUCUGUGUUUAAUUAUUAGUUGCGUUUGUGUUUUGAUUUUAUUCAUCCGUAUUCACAAAAAACUUUUCAACAAACUCCCCCCCCCCCCACUUCGUGUCUGACCUAAUUCUUGAACCACAUUUGAUCCUUGAGAGACAACCUAGGAGUCACUUCCUAGUCUAUACUGCAUUCUUUUAUGCAAUCAAAUUUGUAUGGGCCGCGACAGCUCAUCAAUUUUCUUUAAAACUCAUAAGCUUAAUGCCUAACUUUUCUUUUUCUUUUUCAAUUCUCCCAACAACCCCAAACUUGAACCUUUAACAAUAUCCCAAAAAUAUUUCUCAACCUAACUCAAGGCAAAGAUUUUCAUAGCAAGGGUUUUCAUCCUGUUUAAGGCUUAGGUUCCAAAAGGGUAGAACAUAAGAUGUUCUUUUUCAUGUGGGAAAAAAUUUUUGGCUUAGAAAAGGGCUUAUCAAAAAUGGCCUUGAUCAUGUGACACAUACACGUAAUUCAAUCAAUCAUAGAAACUUAGCCAAAAUCAUUUAAGAACUCUGGAGCUCAAAAACCUCACACAAGCUUAUUCCAAUCAUUCAAUCAAAUACCCUACUUAGCCUCAUAAUCACAAUCACAAAACCACAAUGCAUCUGUUCACACAGCUUGUGAACCAACACCUAUAUAUAAGCAUAUUGUGCAAUCUCAACUUCAUCAAUAUCAAAGCAUCAUCAAGCAAUACCCAUCAUCAAAAAUAUCAAAAUCAAACACUGCAUCAGAUAUAGUGUCCAACCAAGUACAUCAAUACCUAUUCUAAAAACAGAAGCAAAUAUAACAAAAUUUAAAAAGAUAAGUUUAGAAAACUGGGUUGCCUCCCAGGUAGCGCUUGUUUAACGUCACGAGCCUGACCCAAUCCUUUCUAGCACCCAUCAAUAGGUGCAAAACUUACCGUCACCCAUCAAUAGGUGUACCUUCCUGUAUCCUUCAGUGGAUACCUAAUUCUUCUAGCAUCCCUCAGUAGAUCCUAUCAUUACUGCCAUCAGAAGUAACGCAUAACCCAAAAAAAAAAAUCAAAUCAAAUCAAAUAAAAUAAAAUAAAAUCAAAACGAAAUUAAAGAUAAAAAAUUAAGAAACUGGGUUGCCUCCCAGCAAGCGCUCUUUUAACAUCAUUAGUUUGACCCGGUAAAGCCCAAACACCCAUCAGUAGGUGUUGAAAUUUUAUGUUGGUGUUCCUCCUUCCUUCAUGACACCAACAACAUCUCGGAAAUUUCCUUUGUCACCAACUGUAAGAGCUCUGUUUGCUUUGAUAGUCUUGAAAACCCAUAACCUAAUUUUGAAUUUCAUUGAUCUGCCAUGUUAGGGUUCGUCACUUUUCACAUCACGGUGUUAGUGAACCAAUUCUCUUUCCUUAUCUGCCUCCUGAUGAUCUUGUACUACUAGUACC
rnacentral:lncRNA from 1 species